CUCCUCAUCUUUGUGAUCUUGAUCAUUUAAAGUGGAGCAGUUGGUGGAGCAGUUGGUUGACAAUGGAGGCCCAUAAAGUCCCAGGUUCGCCUCAUAAAUGGAUGGAUCGUUGAAUGUCGAGAACUGGUUGGUUGUUGGAAUUGGUCCUGACAGGCGGUUAUGCGAUAGGUUCAAAUGGUUCAAUGAGGUUAUAGAAGACAUGCUCGGAGGAAUUGGGCCUGACAGGCAAUUGCAUGAGAGGUCAAGAGUUUCUAGCCCUUGCAUGGCUCCAAUCUUCUCAGGUAUCUUUCCAGUCAACUGGUUUCGGGACAAAUUCAAGGUACCCAGGGUCGAGAGAUUUGUGAUCUCUUUUGGGAUCUCUCCCCAAAUGUUAUUGCUAGAAAGAUCUAUCAACUUCACAAUUGGCAAUAUGCUAUCAAAUUCCAUAUUUUGUCCCUUUACAACUAGCUCCAUGCGCUCCGAAUAGGCGGCACGACCACUGGGGUCGUCAAAAUUUUUGUCUAAUAAGGUCACAAAACUUAAAGCAGUUAAAUUGCCUACGCAUUGUGGGAUGGAUCCUGAUAAAUUGUUCACUGCAAGAUCCAAAAUGUGGAGAUCAGAAAGCCAACACAAUUGCUCAGGAAUAUCUCCUGUCAACAUAUUGCCCCGUAGACGCAGCUGCUCCAGUGUUGGCAUUCUUUCUCCAAUCCAUUUGGGUAUCUCCAAUCCAGUGUAGACAAGCUUGUGCAGUUUUGUAAACUUGGAGCGAGUUCCCCAGUAAGAUUGUUGUCACCCAAUAUCAACUGAGUAAGUGAAGAUUUUGAACACAUCCAACUCGGAAUCCCACCAGACAGUUUGUUCUUGGAUAGAUCUAUGGUCCUAAGCCUGUGCAAAUCAUUCCAAUUCUUUGGAAUCUUUCCAGAUAAAUGAUUGUUUGAGAGAUCAAUUACUUCCAAAUCCUUCAGUUUACUAAUUGAUGAAGGAAUGCUGCCAUUUAACAAGUUACAAGAAACAUCAAGGAUUUCCAAGCUUGAUAAUUCCCCGAUGUUCAAGGGAAUUGGACCUGAAAAUGAAUUGUUUCCCAAAUACAAAGAUCCCACAUUAAGUCGAAGUGGGAGUGGGCCCCCCAAGCGGUUGAAACUUAAAUCCACCAAUGCGUCUUGGCUAAAGGAUGAUGAGUUGGGAAGCGUUCCAUACAAUUGGUUUCUAGAAAGAUCUAACCACGAAAAAUCUUGUUUCCAAAGCAACGCGGCUUCAUUUUUUAACUAAAGCCGCGAUUGGCAACCGCGGCUUUAGUUCAUUUUUAUUUAAAUUUAAAAUUUAAUUAAAAAAUUAUUAAAUUACAAUUUAUGAAUGAAAUUUAAAAAUAUACUUAAAUAAUAAAUUAUUUAUAUUUAAAUUUAAAAUUCUAGUAUUACUUCAACAAACAUAAAUUGAUAAAUAGAAGAUAUUAUAAAUGAAUAUUUUAUUUAUUAAUAAAUUAAUAAUCUUAAAAUAAUAAAUUUAUAUAAUAUAUAAAUAAUAUAUAAAAUUGUAUAAUUUAUUAAUUUAAGAUAUUUAAUUUGUUAAUUUUUAAGAUAUUAAUUUAUUUAUAUUAUGAUAAAUUUAUCUUUAUCGAAAUAAUAGUAUAGUAGUUAAUAACUGAGAUUUCAAUUAUAAUAUUUUUUUUACUUUCAAAUUUAAUUAAAAACUAUUGAAUUACAAUUUAUGAUUGAAAUUUUAAAAAUAUACUUAAAUAAAAAAUUAUUUAUAUUUAAACUUAAAAAUCUAGUAUUAUUUCAACAAACAUAAAUUGAUAAAUAGAAGAUAUUAUAAAUGAAUAUUUGAUUUAUUAAUAAAUUAAUAAUCUUAAAAUAAUAAAUUUAUAUAACAUAUAAAUAAUAUAUAAAAUUGUAUAAUUUAUUAAUUUAAGAUAUUUAAUUUGUUAAUUUUUAAGAUAUUAAUUUAUUUAUAUUAUGAUAAAUUUAUCUUUCUCGAAAUAAUAGUAUAGUAGUUAAUAACUGAGAUUUUAAUUAUAAUAUUUUUUUUACUUUCAAAUUUAAUUAAAAACUAUUAAAUGACAAUUUAUGAUUGAAAUUUUAAAAAUAUACUUAAAUAAAAAAUUAUUUAUAUUUAAACUUAAAAAUCUAGUAUUAUUUCAACAAACAUAAAUUGAUAAAUAAAAGAUAUUAUAAAUGAAUAUUUGAUUUAUUAAUAAAUUAAUAAUCUUAAAAUAAUAAAUUUAUAUAACAUAUAAAUAAUAUAUAAAAUUGUAUAAUUUAUUAAUUUAAGAUAUUUAAUUUGUUAAUUUUUAAGAUAUUAAUUUAUUUGUAUUAUGACAAAUUUAUCUUUAACAAAAUAAUAACAUACUCUUAAGCCGUAGUUGUCAUAUAUAGAUUUUUUUACAAAAUUAGUUAAUGAAAUUAAUUACAAAAAGUCUACUACAAAAUGUAAUUUUUAAUAGUUUAAUUAAAGUCACAAAAAAUAUCCACUAAACAUUAAUAUAGUGGAAAAUAAAAAACAUAUAUAAUCUCACAUGCCUCCACAAAGAGAGAACCUAUGUGUAAUACUCUCUUCCUUUUUGGACGCCCCUCUCUAACUGUAGCAGGUACUGCAUGUGACACAUGAAUAACAUCUGUCUGUGAUGGGGCUAGAGCUGGAAAUGGAGGUGGUGGUGGAGGUAGCAAUCUAGGUCGACGUAAGCCCCGCCUACCCCUCGGAAUGACUGGCGGUAAAUCUAGCUGAGUAGUCCGCCUAUUUGAUUAUAGAAAACCAUCCUAGUGUUGUCAAAUAUCAAGCAAUCAAUUACACACAAAAUGUAAUCACAGCAUUCAAAAGAUCACCAACCAAAUCACAAAUGAAAUUUAAUGUCAAUGAAAGUACGUAUUUUCAUCUUUUGAAUGGCUCAUAAUGAUCAUGAUGAUACAAUAAGUUUCUUGAUGAACUUAACACUAUCAAAGAGUUCUAAGCAGGAUGAAAAAUAAAUAAAAAGUGAAACCAUGACUAGUUAGCAACUUAGCUUACCUCAAGUGAAUCAAGAUGUUCCAAGGUUUCAAUAGUUAUAUUAUUAUCAUCCAUUAUUAAGUAUUUACUUUGACUUUUCCAAUCAAUAUAAAAAACAAACAAUAAAACAACUAUUCCAAUUCCAAAGUUUCAAAUUUCAAACCAACCAACUACCCUUUUGAUUUGAAUAAUUAACAAUUACUAGGGUGGGUCCCCUUUCUUAUUCAAAAGCCAACAAUUAUCUAAUUGAAUUUUUUUUUUUUGAUAAAUAAAGAGAAAUUUUUCUAAUUGAAAUUUGAUAAUUGAUUAAUGAACAUCAUGCAUAACUGUGGUAUUAUGUUGACUUGUUAUGAAAUUAAAUAAUAUUUUUUAACAAAAACAAGAUAUUAAGUAAAUUAGCAAUUGAAAAUAUGAAAAUAAAAAUAAAUAACACUAUAUUUUAUAAAAUUUAUUUAAAAGUGAAGUAUUUAAAUAUGAUAUAUUUAUAAAAAUGACUCUACUACACCUUCAAACUUUAAUUCUUAUAUUCAUUUAUUCAUUUAAAUAUUCAAAUAUAUAAAUAUUUUAUAAAUUUAGUAAUUUACUUAAUAUCAAUAGGAAAAUUUAGUAAUAUUAAUAUAAAUUUAGUAAAUUCAGUUAAUUCCCUAGGAAAAGUGAUAAGCUGAUGUACCAAUACCAAAGCAAGCCCAUAAUAAUAAUUCCACAGGAAAAUUUCAUAAUAAUAAUAUGAUAAAAUUAUUUUUAUUAAUAUCUUUUUUAUUUAAUCUUUAAUUUUAUUAAAAAUUAUAAUAUAUUCUAUUAAGAUGAGAUAAAAUUGUUCUCAUGAUUUGUUUUUUUUUUUUUUAACUCUAUUAAAUCUAAAAAUCAAAAGGCUACCCACUUCUCUCACUCGGGCAUGAAGAACCCCUUUUCUGAAGUUGCCCUCCAGCCGGGAGAAUCCCUAAAAAAGCCCUUCUCUCACUCUGCCACUCUCAAUCCUCGCAGGUACUAAUCUAAUCAUAUUAUUAUUAUUAUUAUUUGCAACCCCCCUUUGAUUCCCAAUAAAAUCCAUGCCCCAUUCGAUUUCCGCGAAAAUUCAUCCUCGUUUGAUUUCCGAGAAAAUCCAUGCAAAACCCCCAAGGAAAACCAAAAAAAUUGCUUUUCUUUUGCUCUCUGUGUUUUUUGGAUCCGUUUUAGGGGUCUCUUUGCUGUUGUGCCAUUGGAUUUAAAUUUCAAGAACCCUAAAUCAAAACUGAGAAACGGGAAAAAUCAAGAAUUUUUUUCUUUCUGUUUUCAUUCUCGUUUCCCACUUUUCUCAGCAUCCAACGGGAAAAAUAAAAAUACUAACAACACAUGAUAAAAAAAAGCUCAGAUCUAAAAAAAAUUAACACUAACCUCAACCUCCAACGUCUCCCUCAGUGGCCCACUGGUGGGGCUAGGAUUUUUAAGGAAAAAUGAGCACGGGCUAGGAAUAGAGAGUAGCUCGGAUGGAAGUUGUAGCUCCAACGUCUCCCUCAGUGGCCCAUUGAUGGGGCUAGGGUUUUUAAUGAAAAAACCACACGCAGAGCACAGGGGAAGAGAGCAACUCGGAUGGAAGUUUGGGAUUGGGAAAGAAAAAAUGCAGCUGAAGUUUGGGAAAGUAAAAAAUAAAAGGAAUAAAAAAUUACUUUGUAUGCGGACUCAAAAUGGUUAUUUUGAACAAUUGUUUGAAAAGUAGGUCAUUCUGAACAUUAUGUUUCAGCGGAAGGCUAUUUUGACCCAUUAUUCUUGGUUGAACCAUGUAGAUCUUAUGUCAAAGGAAAUUGGGCUGUCGGGAAGCCAUCUUCCUCUGUGUUGGUCACCGUGCCUAGAAGUGGAGAUAGUUGAGUCGAUUGUAUCGACCAUGGCCUAAAUGAAGCUGAUCCUACAGCGUGAACCAUUAGUUACAGGGAAGAGCAAUGGCAAAUGGAAAGCAGUACCGUCUUAAUCCACAUGCACAAGAACCAUGCAAGUGUGACCGUCCAUCAUUUCUAUACCAUUAUCUCACAACACCCCCCCCCCCCAUGCAUUUCAUCAUCAUCAUACCCAUGUAGCCUACCUACCAUCCCAUUUCGUUUUUCAUCUACCAUCUACUUCCUACUCGUUUAUCUCUCUACACCACAUAUCUAUGUACCCCAUCUAUCUUUUCAAACCUCUCUCCAAUCAUACCCUAUACCCGCUCUCUUUGCCUCAUUUCUCCUUCCCCAUCUGCAUGUCUAUAUUUCACACCCGUUUACUUUAUCACUCCAUCAUCACAUCUCCUAUACCCAUCGCUUGUAUACGUUCACAUCCAUCCCAUUUCACCAUAUCCAUCUACCCGUAAAUCCCAUUCCAUAAUAGCCAAUUUUCACUCCUUUAUUAUCCUUCAAUACCCACUGUUUGUCCCCCACCGACUUGAUUCCUAUGCUUACCCAGGAGCAUGCAACUACUUUUCUUCACAGCCACCACCAUUGCCAGGCUGCUCAGCAACUGUUGAACAACACUUUCAACGAGGAACUAUCCAGCUACCAGCGAAGCUUUCUCAGAAGCACCAUCAACUCUGGGAAAAUCAAUCAGCACAGAAUGUUUCAAUUGUGGACUGUUAUUAGUCAGUUGCAAUCAGAAUUGGCUGAUUAUAAGAGCCAUUUAUGGAAGUUAGAAGCAGAGGCGUCAUCUGCAAAAGUGACAAGGACAGAGUCUCACUCUCCCUUUCUUUCUCUAUCAAGAAAUCACGGGUUGAGAAGAGGUGAAGCAUGGGAUCAUUGGCGAAGAAGGGUUUGCAGCAGUACCUUUGACAACUUCAGUGUCACCCUUUGAGAACUAAGACCAUUAUAGCGGCUAUGUUGUCAGUUGUCAGUGACAUAGUUUCUCCAAAGCUAUCUGGUAUGCAGAAACUUCAACUGAAGCGUCUUCUUCUCAAAGUGCUUCUUGGAUCUGGUUAUCUUAGGCCCUUCGGACAUUUUCUGCAUACACUAUUGGAUAGGCUUUUUAAAGGGAAGAAAGAUUCAAAGACAGUGGCCAAGAAGGUGGUCCUCGAACAGUUGACUACUUCAACUUGGAACAACUUUGUAUUCAUGAUGGAGAAGUGGUUGGAGUUGUCAGUGAUUAAAAUAAAGGUGUUUUCAAUAAUAAGUGGGCUUGGCACGAAGCAGACAUGAAUAGGGUUGUUGAUGACCUGGUUGCUUUCUCUUCAUCCUACAGUACAAAUGGCUUGGCUUCGCCUAUUGCCGUUUCCUUUUGCUCUCCGUUUGAUACAUUGGAGGCAGACCACCAACCUUUUGGUUAUAUCAUACCAGGAAACGAAGGACCUGGUAAGGUGCUGCAUUCUUCUUCAGCAUCGGCAGAUACAUUGUCAGAGAAGAAAGUUUCUGGAUCUUUGGCAAAUUUACCUGUUAAUGUUGAAGGGAAAUCAGGAGAUCCACUUCCUUACUCCCUCUUGCCACCAAUUAUCAUUCCCAAUAUUAGCUAUAGUUUGAGAUGGUAAUGGUACCCCAUCACCCUCUUCAAUGAGCUCCACCAUCUUAAUUCAGAGGAAGGCAUGAUAGAGAUCUUGAAGGAGAAGGGGAAGGAAUUAUUGGUGCUGCGGGGACUGCUUGCCUUGGAGAUAAUUCUGUAGAGUGCUGUCAAUGGCGAUCUACACUGCGCUGUUAGUGGCUUUCUCAUCGCUAUUUCUGUAACAGCUGGAGUACAAAAGAGGUGGAGAAUGCUAGUAACCAUCAUGAAGCUUUCGAUACAUAUGGCUUUGAAGGAGACUCACCUUCGGGCUAUGCACAGAUGCAGUUGAUGAGCUAUUGGAAUGCAACUCUUGCUUUGCCAAUUGUACUAACUUGCUUGAAACAAAGUGGCGAGCGAGAGAACCACCCUGUUUUAUCAGCUGUCACUGUUUCUGCUGCUCAAAUAAUAAAUCCUUGUCUCCACAUUGAGGCUUUACAAAGUUAUGUGGGACCCUCAUGACAAUAGCUUCCAAAUCGAAAAUCCCAAGAUAUGAGGCACUAAUGCAACAAAAUGCUGCAAUAUCUGAGCGUGGUAAUGCUUUUCUGGAAUGCGACAAUGCUAUUGCUGCCCUUCGAUCUUUAGAAAGUGUCGUCUCAAUUCCACGUGGAACGAAAUGCAUGGAUCACCUCCCAAGUCACGCAGCUAAUGGAGGGGUGGAACUUGUAACUGACAGACAAGAGAAAACUCCUGCCAAAGCAGAAACUGCAGUCCUGUUUGAGGAUCUUCGAGAGCUCGGUAUUCUUAUCAGAAAGGGAGAACUCCAUGGAAACGUCUUCAGAAUAAAGCCACCUAUGUGUUUCUGCAAAGAUGAUGCUGAUUUCCUUGUUGAUGCUUUAGAUUGCAGCGUAUCAAAAUUGUGAGGAUCAAAUCUUCCAAGAGCUGGAGGUGAAGUCUUCACGCCCUUUGGCACCCUUACAUCCCUUCUUUAAUUUCGAAAAUAACUUUUUCUAAAUCCCUCUUUUCAAAUAAUUUUCUAAAUUUAAUUUGUUUUAAAAUAAUUUCAGACUCUUUUAUAUUUCCUCCUUAGCAUUAUUUUUAGGUUCCAAAAAUCCAUUUUUUUUAAUAAAAUUCUGCUACCAUUUUUCUUCAUGGCGAGCAAUUUUCACAUUUUCUCUAUUCUUAGAAGGUUUUGAGAUAAGCAAGGAUUCAAUUUUGUAAUUCCAAAAUAAUGGGGUUAUUGGAAUUAAUUCAUGCAAAAUAAAUGGGCUUUGGUGGGGGCCCCACAUAAGUGACUUUAUAAUUGAUUUAUGGAUUGAUUGAUUUAAUUGUCCCGCAUGAUUGAUUUUAUUCUACUCUAUAACAUGCUCGAAAUUAUUUCUUAAUUGUGCACUAACCUCGCUUUUUGAUAGCAUAUUAUGGCUCGUCGCCCAGGUACGUAUCUAUUACCCUUCUAGUCUUUCUAUAUGCAUGCUCUAACUCUCAUACGUGCAUCAUCGGUCUGGGUAUUCAUUGAUUUACGCAUCAAUUGCCACAUCAGCUUUAUUUUAUUAGUAGAGACCCGACUUUAGGGGCUUAAAAGGGUGUUACGAUCUUUACCGUACCUUCCCGAUAAGUAACCUGACCCCCGAGCCCGAUCCGGUUUCUCACAGACCACCUUUUCCUAAAUAAGGAGUCACAUUUAGGGUUUUUCUUUCUUAUUUUGUUUACCCUUUUAAAAAUAAAAUAAAAAUAAGUGGACUCCAAGUCAUUUUCUAAUAAAUAAUAAAUCAUUUUUUUUUAAUAAAAGUCGAGUUCGCCAUCGAGUGGGAAACACAUGAGCCGAAAUGCGGGGUCCACAGCAAUAUUUUUGUUUGGGUUACAAAAAAAAAUCAUAUUGAACACUAAAAAAAAUAUUUUUUAAAAAACCAUUCCAAUUAAAUAUUGUUUAUUUUAAAAUUUUAAUAAUAAUUUUUAUUUAAAAAAAUUGAGUUAUGAAUUUCACAUUAAAACAUUGAAUAUAAUAAAAUCAUUUUACAUAAUAUACUUUUGGUGAAAAAAAUAAUUUUAUAAUUUAUUAUUUAAAGAAAUUAUUUUGUUUUAAAAUAUAAGAAGAAUAUGAAAAACAAUUGAGUGUGAAAAAUAAAAGAAAUGAAAAGAAAAAAAAAACACAAAGUUUACGUGGGAUGGGAGGUUGAGUAGGUAGAGAUGAAAAGGAAUAUAAAAAUAAAAGAAAAAGAAUGUUAAAAUAUGGGGUGGGGGUUGGGAAAAUGAAAAGAAAAGAAAAGAAAAAUAAAAAAGGGGUGCGGGACGUGAGAUUGGGGAGGACAGAGAGGAGAGGAGAGAGGAGAGAGAGGAGGAAGAAAUAAGGAAAGGUAAUUUAGGAAUGCAAAAUGUCGUAUUAGUAAAAAUGGUGUUACGAAUAGCAAUUGAGAUUUUUAAAUAUAUAAAUUUUUAACUAAUUUUAAUUAUAUUUGAUUUUUAUUGAUAUUUUCGAUGAUAUAACAAUCCAUAACAUAAUCAUUUUUCCUAUUAUUAUUUUUUCUUUUCUUGGCACUUUCAAGGAAACAAAAAUAAACACCGAGUAAAAUUAUGAUUUUAAAGGUAGCUUAGUUAACAUUGUGUGUACUUUUUGUUGAACUCUUUUCGAAGUGGAAUUUUUGUUAUAAAUUUAUCUAAAUACCUAAAAAAUCUUGUAAGCAACAACAAUUAGGUUUCUGUUACAUCUCAUUUAACAAUUAUUGUAAAGCUAUAAUGACUAGAUUGGGUUAGAUAGUUCACAAUUUGAACCUUUGGUUUCAAAAUUUAAUCAAAGAAAAUUUAGUAACCAAAUGUUUAAAAUUUAGGAAUGAUGAUGGACAGGUUUUGAAACUAUUUCAAAUUUUGAUACAACUAUAAAUUUAGAAGAAAUGAAGACCUUUUAGCAUAUAGAAGAAGUUUCACCAAACUAAUAAUUAACAUAUAAAUAAGUAGGAUGAGUGUUUGAGACACUUCUCUUUUUGUUGGAUUCGGUUCUAGUCCGACUCAAGGUUAAUAUAUUUUUAAUUUCCACUUUGUUCAUUUAUGCAUUGAUUCAAAAAAAAUAUGUCAUGUACUAAUGUUAAUUCAAGAUAUUAAUUACCAAGUUUUUGAAACAUGAAGUCAUGGUCCAAAGAAAACGAUACAAUAUUUUAUUUUUUAUUUCUAUUCCUCCAUUCUUUUGCUUAACUCACACGAAAUUUGUUUUAGUCAAGCAUCAAGAUGUCACAAUCAAAAAGAAAAGAAAUUCAAAUGUUGUGUAUAUUUUCUCCAAAAAGCAUUUUAGACUCUUGUUAGAAUUUUCUCCUACGGAUGUUUUACUAACUUUAAUUAAUUGAAGAAAGCUACAUGAAAUUUCCUACUCCAUGUUAAAUAUUAUAGCCUAUAAAGGAAAAUAAAAUAUCAUAAAAAUCAUUUAAAAUUUUAUAUAUAUUCAAAUUUUUUAUUAUAUAUAUAAAGGGUUGGAAAAAUGUAUAACAGGUUAAUGUGGUAUUUAUUUUCGGUCUAAAAUUUGAGUAGAUCUAAGUUUGACUUAAAUCUACUUAUAUUAUUAAGUUUUUUAGGUUGUUUACUUUUUAUCAAUGUAUAAAUAUUGUUAAGUGUUAAAUUGCUUUCUUUUAUUAAUGUCUAAAGAGUUACACUUAUUUAUUUCUACAUGUUAAAAAUAUCUAUAAAAUUAAUUAUUAUAUUUUUUCUUAUUUUAAUUUUAAAAUUAACAAUUUAAGAGAUAUUAAUUUAAUAUAUUUAUAAAUAUAAAAAAAAUUUAUAAUUUAUUAUCAUAAUAAACAUUUUAUAAUGACUAAUAAUGCAAAGUGUAAAAAAAUAACAAUUAGAUAAUUAUUAGGAUUUCUAAUUAUGUUUGGUUGUUAAAAAAUUUCUAUGUUAAAACUUAUUUUUAUGUAACUAUCUUCAAAUUUAUGAAUAUUGUUGAGAUUAAUUUAUUAAUUUUUAUUUUUAAUUUGGAAAAAAUGUAAAAAUCUAAAUUUUAUUUUUUAAAUUAAUUGGAUUUUUCUAGUUAAUUACUAAAUGAAAGUAAAUUAGAAAUCUAAGUUCAAGGACAUUAGCCAACCAAACUGACUUUAAAUCUAACCAAUCCAAUCUUAUUACUUUUUAUUUUCAUUUAAAGAUGUUUGUUUCUAUUAAAAAAGAAAUGAUUACAUUGGUUCAGUGUUCAUGAACCAAUCGAAUCUAUCUAUUAUAUAUAUAUAUAUAUAAAAAAUGAUCACAUUGGUUCGGUAUUCAUUUCAAAACAAUGAAUCAAUAGAAACCGAUUCUAAUCGAACCUAUCUAUUAUAUAUUCGACUUAAAAGAUGCAAAAUUUGAAUUUUCAAAAUUUGAAGUUAUUUUUUGAAGAGACUUCAUAUUUUGCUUCUCAUAAUUUACUAUAAAUUUAUGAAAUUAUUUUUUAGUUGUCAUAUUUUUUAAAAAUAUUUUAUUUUUUCAAAGUAAAUUCACUAAAUAUUGUCUCACAUGUAUUUGUGGUUCACUAAACUUUUAAAAUCAAAUUAAUAAAUUUGUAAAAGAAAAAUAUUAUAUUUUCUCCAUUUUGUUCACUUGAUAAACAAAUCUACAAAAAUGUCAAGCGAAUGUUUGAAAUUUACCUCUUUUUUUUUUUUUUUUGUAAUCUUUGGUUGAUUGUGUUUUUAAAAGCAUUAUAAAUCCCAAGAAAGUAAUAUUUUUUUCUUUACCAUUAUAGUUCCCAUAGUGUUUAAACUUAUCUUUACCAUUUUUUUUCUUCUUGAUCUAACUACAAGCUUGACUGCACAAACUUGGUCAACAAUGAGAAUAAAAGAAUAAAAGUGAGGAGGGUGAUGAAGUUCUCCCUAUACUCUCCUCUCCCUUUUUAACUUUUAUAUCCCCCCUCAACAGUAUAGUUUUAAGGUAUGUACACUUUAAUCCUGAUGGACUAAAGGCCCAUAAUUCAUCUCAAUGGGUCAACUAAAAUAUUAUGAGCAAGGUGAAGCCAUGGGCCUCUGCACAAUACAUAAAUUGAUUAUGGCCCAAAACAAUACCCAUGCACAACCAAAUAUAGUUUACAAUAUACGUAGUCCACAAAAAACAUUUGACAUUAAUAGGUGAAUUUAGGUGAUUAUGCUAGUCCAAUAACAUAAUUUCAACAUAUGAUUACAUUUUACUCUCCCUUUAAUGUUAAAUGACCAAUCAUGAAACAACAAAAAGUUUUAUUUGAAAAUUUAUAUAUUUUUCAAACUCUUGAUUCCCCUUUAUAAAUAAUGUGGAUAAAGUUAGAGAAGUAAUGAAAAUAAUUAUUAAAAUUUACUAAUCUUUAAGAGAAGUAUAGAAAAUGGGAAAUUAAUAAAAAAAUUUAUUAAAAUUUGCUGAGGUUGAUAUUUUUUAGUUCCUUUAAUUUUUUUUACUUUAAUUUCCUUCAAUGUUAUCUUUCCUAGUAAUAUAAAUGAGGAUUUGGGGAGUAUAUAUGCUGUUAUAUGACCCAAAAAUUAUUGGUUAUAGAAUAGUAGAAAUUCCAUAAGAACAAAAUUCACAUACAUUUUAUCUCAAAGUUAAAAUAGUCUUACCAACUGUUAUGUAUCUAAUGGUGCAGUAGAUUUUGAGCUUGUCUAAAAAGCUCUCGCCUAUUGAUGCCCUUAUCAACUACUUGGCAAACCAAUUUGCCAAACUUGCAACACAAGAUGGUUGAGUGGUCAUCCAGCACAUCACCUAUGGUCAAGUCAAUGGAUAACAAGAAAAUGAAGUGUUGAGAGUAGAUGCAAAAAUAAAUAUGGGAAUAUGGGUGAGAGAAUAUGAUAGAUGAUCGAAGCUUAUUCUCUUUGCUAGAGCUUGUUCGGACCUUUAUAGUUCAUUACCCAAUUAUGUUAAGCUAACCUUACCAUGUUAAAAAAUUGGAAAAUAUUAAGGAAUUGAAUUGGUAACUAUUGACUUCCAUCUUGAUUGUUGACUUUGGCAAAAUUAAUUUAGAUUGUUGGACCAAGAUAUAAAGAAAUAAGGUCAAAGUAUAAAUGUAUGAAUAAAUAAAGGUACCAAGUGGUGACCAAGACACCGAUUGGUGAUGUCUUUUCAAUAUCUAUCGGAGAAAAAGUACCUUUCAGUAUUAUGGUAAGAUCCUAAAACCCUUCUGUAUGUCUAGUGAUUGUUCAUUUUCUGGGGCAUCGAAAAGAAUUGUUUCUCCAACUACAUUACUACCAUCAAUGACGAGGCCUAGAUCAACGACCAACUCUGAUUCUCUCUUUUCUUCUCCGAAAUACUCUUGUGUAUUUCAAAUUCGGAGCCGAAAUCUGGUCAAAGAGAAACAUAACCCGAAAUUCAACCCGGUUGGCCAGCCAUUGAUGAAAGGUCUCUAAAGAUUGUAGUCUUCUUCGCUUCACAGUGAUGAAAUGCAUAGCCGGGGACGGAAUCACCUACUAUCUGGUUCGGCUUUCAAAUCUCUAGUUUCGGUUCUCAUGCUAGCCAUGUUCGCCACCAUGGCAUCGAUUUAUGUCACCGGCCCGUGAGUUCUCACACUGUAUCGUAUUGUGAAAUGAUUUUCAUUUCUUAGCUGUAAUAGUGUUUAUAGUGUGGUUAAUUUCGUUAAUUUAGGUUUUUGUUUUGUGAUGCUUUGAUUUUGAUUAUAAUUGGUCUAUGUUUUUCAAAAGAAAAAUUGUUUUUAUGGAAAUCUGUUAUUGGUAGGCUGUGGUUGGAUUCUGAGAAUAAGGUUUAUUUGAUUAAAGAGCUUGAUAUUGUUAUUCAAUUGUAGCUUCAACUUUUCUUCCCCACAGUUUGUUAAUGCAUUUUUUGGGACUGUUUUGUUAUUGAGACUAAAUUAUAGUGAUACAAAGAGGGUCUUGACAUUGAAUGGAACCAGAAUCAGUCCAUCAUGGUAUAUGUUCUAUAGCAUUACAUUACAAUGCCAAAUAAACUGGUGAUGUGCAUAAGCUCUUGCCUUUUUCUUUCUUUUAUUGAAACAAUCAGAGUUGAUACCAGCCGAUUUUCAUUUUUUGAAAUUAAUCAUUCAUAGUAAAAGAGGUAAAUAUCUAUACUUACCAUUUUAAUAGUUUUCAAGUGGAAUCAGCCAAUGACACUGAAAAUUACAGAGUAAUUGGGGUUCUUUUUUUGGGGCUUUUGUUAUAAUAGACAAAAUAUAAUCUAGAGGUCAUGGUGAUGGUUCUUCAAUUUUAUAGGAACAGCAGAAGUUAGCAGCCUUUGAGAUGGAGUUACUUGCAGUACAACAGGAAGAUUUUGUCUCAAAGAACUUGUCAGAAAAGAAGGAACUCCUCCUAAGAAAAAACAUUUAGCUGUUGUAGGAAUUAUAACAAAGUUUGGCCACAAGAACAAUAGAGAUGCAAUCCAUAAGACAUGGAUACCAACUGGUAGAAUACCCUUCUUUUUGUAAGUUUCUCUCUUUACUCUUUCUAUGAUUUACAUAGAGAAUGACCCAGUUGGCACUUAACAAAUUGACAUUUCUGUUAUAAGCAUAUAAGGGAUAAAAACAGGAGGCUUGUAGGCUGAACUCUUGUUAACAUGAAAACUUUUAGGGAACUUCCAUUUGUCUUCUAUUCUUUUUUCAUUGUUUUGUUUAUUUUCUCAGUUUGCAAUAGUCAUCUUUCAAUAGUUUGCAAACUCCAUCAACCAAUUUGAAAAGCCUUAGAGCUAACAAGUGCAAAUUAUGAGAAGCUAAAAUCUUGUUUCUCUAGGAUUUUUCUAAAGUUGCUCAAUUGAAUGGAAAGCAGAAAACCAUCAAGAGGCCCUGCCCUUGCCCCUGCCCUGCACCCUCUAUACUCCUGUUUACAGAAAUUUGGAGUUUGUCUUUAUUGUAAUAAGGGAGACAAUAGUCUGCAUAAUAAUGGAACAAAAAGUAAUAUUGUGAUUCACUGCUUCAAAAAGUAAUUUUGACAUAACUUAUGUGCUAAACUGCACUAAAAUGCUUAGCACAAAAAGUAUGUUAUUCUUCAUUUGAGAGCAUUACAUUGAACAUCAUAUGUUAGCAUCACUUUUGCCAUAACUAAUCUUUCUUUCUUUCUUUCUUUCCCCUUAUCCAAGACAAUGCAUAUUGAGUGAUUGAUACGUAAGUUAAUAGCCUUAGCACCCACAUGGGGUGAAGUUUGAAUCCAAAAUUUCCCAAUAGUCUUAAUACGCUUCCUCGGGUGUGUUCGAACUUAAGACAUCAAUGUUAAACCACCACCUUACCCAAAACCUUUAAGUUGCUCGGUAAUAGGCCAACAAUGGGAUAUUAAGGCGACUAAUAGGUAGGCUAAUAGCCUGAGCAAUUCUCUUAUAAUGUUUAAUGGUUCAAAUGUUGACAAUUAAAACAUUUACAAAAGCAUGAUGACUUAUCCAUCGUUUUCAUACAGAUACUCUAGAAGCAGCUCUUGCUCUACCCAUUUGAAUAAGCCUUGAGUUUAUAUUGGGUGUAUGAAAUCAGGUGAAGUUUUCUCAAAGUUGUGAGUAUAAUCAAAGGGUUUUUUUUUUUUCUUUUCUCUAAUGAUGAGAAAACGAGUUCUUUAUGAUAUUCUAUUUUCACAUAUUGUAUUAUCUUUUCAUAUUGUCUUAAUUAUGUAGGAUCCACAAGUAGUAAGAACUAGACUGGUAGAAAUUUGGUGAUGGAAAAUCAUGAGUAAUUCUGUAUUGAUUUCAUCUUGUCUCUUAUAUUAAGAUAAGUAAUUAUUACUUUCUAGUUCUGUUAACUAGUCAGGAAGUCUCUUAGUAUCUCCGAAUUCAUCUGAUAGGUGAUAGAAGUCCCAAUGAAUAACUAGGGCAUUGUCCCAUAAGAGGCUUGCUUGAUAGAGAGUUAGAGCACCAUUUCUGAAGUUUUUUGGGCAUUUAAACAAUUUAUCAUUCCAUCAUAUUCUUGACAUCUGUUACACUUGAUUUGCCCACCCUAUGCACCCAUAUUUAAACCAUCUCAAACUCUGAUUUGUGUUGAGGUAUCCUGGAGUUUGCAGAGGGACGCCUUCUCGGGAAGUCAGGCUUACAUUGGCUGAAUAUACAUUUAGAAAAUUUAUAUGCUGGUCGACUGGACAAGUUAUCAUACGAGGGUUGGGUAGCAUUUAUUGAGAAUCAUUUAGAAGAUAUAUUUGAUUCCACAGACAGACCUCUGGAAGGAAGACGUUGGUGGUUGUCUGCUGAGGAUCCUUUCCAAUGCUUGGCUGCAUGUAUUAAUCUCUCAGAAGCAUUAAGAAGCUCCUCUCCAUAGACUACUAUUUCACACAUGCCUGUCCACCAGGUACUUCAUUCUCAUCAUGGUCACAUUCAAACUGAGAAAUGUUUACUACCGAGUGAAAUCAAAUUAAUCCCACCUCCCUCNNNNNNNNNNNNNNNNNNNNNNNNNNNNNNNNNNNNNNNNNNNNNNNNNNNNNNNNNNNNNNNNNNNNNNNNNNNNNNNNNNNNNNNNNNNNNNNNNNNNACUAGUUUUUAUUGGAAUUAUGUUUCUAAGCAUAGGCAUAUCAUUUGUUGCUUGUGUAUUUUGUAUAAAAUCCUCCAGGUAACUAUAUAGUUCUUCUGCAUUUACACAUGGAAAAUGACAGUCACAUGAUUGUUCAGACCCUUCAGAGUACCCCAUUUGUUGCGGAGCAGAAAUAAUGGAUCUACCACUUCUUUCAUAGCACUACCUUAUGUUUGCGCUAUCCUAUUGAAGUAGGCUUGAGAGGAUAACAGAUAUUUCCCUGACUUUACUUUUGUUUUCAUAUUAAAUGCUUAGAUUCAGGUCAUUUGUUUGUCCAAAACUUAAUCUGAGAUUGUAUUGUUCUAUCUUUUUCAAGGAUGGCUCGUGCAAUGGCUUACAACACUAUGCUGCCCUUGGAAGGGACAAGGUAGUGGAAUUUUCCGCUUUUGGUUGAUCGUUGUGGAGUUCUAAUUAUGUGAUAUGGAAGCAUGGUUUUUGAUUAGUUAGGCAUAGCUUUUCACUCUUUUUCUGCUUUGAGGCUAAAUUUGUCUCAACUUUGAUCUUCUCUCAUUUUGAUAGGAAAAAAAUGAACUUUGUUAAGGAAAGAUAGUACGAGGAUAAGGAACUAGAAAUUGAAACCCAAGAAAGAAACCAAACUUUGUUUGAGUUUGGUGCAGUUUAUUUAAUUUGAUUUUUUUAAGUCAUCUCAAACUUUGUUUAAUUUUGUUGCUUCAACUAAAGUUUUAUAUAUGUAAUAGAAAAUAUAUACCGGAAAAAGUGGUAGGACCUUUUCAAUUUUGAAAUGAGAAUUUUAAUUAAAAUAUUUGAAAAAAAAAUUUCAAGACUUCAACUGUGGCCAAACAUAAGUUGUGUCAAGAGAAUAAACCUAUGGCAGCAGGCAAGGAAAAGUGGCAUCCAUAUGAAGCCCUAUAGUUGCGGCUGACAAAAGGCCAUGUCUAUAAGUACUAUAUAGUAUUAAAUUAUGUAGAUAUCACACCUUUAUAGCAGCAACUAUCAGCUGUCCCAACCACAUAUGGAGCUUUUAGUUAAGGAAAAAACAUGACAACGGGGAUAGCUUCACAACUUCUACUUGUGUGGGGUGGCUGCAACUAUAGGAUUUAUCUGCAUCCCUAUGGCCUUCGCCGCUAUAAACUUACCUUCUUGUAGUGUGUAGCACUCUUGCCUCGUGUAUGAUUGCAACACAUGUACUGCACAACUCUUUGUUAAUGGUUGUUAAAAAUAGGUUUCUAUUUUUGAAAAUUGAAAAUAAGAAAAUCUUGUUUGACAAUAAGAAAAUAGAAACCAAUUUUUAAAAAAAUAGAAAAUAGGUUUUGUUCUUAAAAAAAAAAAAUGUUUUCAAUUGUUUUCUAGGGUUAUUUUUAAAAAAAUAAUAAGAUAAAUAUGAAGAAUAAUUAAAAAUAAAAUGCUACAUAUAAAACUUACUUUUUUGAAAAAUAUUUGAAAGCAAAAAAUACGUUAAAAGUAUUUCAAAUUUUCAAACAAACAUUUAUCAUAUAAAUCUCAUAGAAUUAUUUUCGAAAACUAUUUUCAAAAAAUAUUUUUUUUUAAUGAUUUUCAAAAUUAUUUUCAAACUAACUUAAAGUAUGUUUGACAGUGAUUUUAUGAAGUAUUUUUAAUCUUUUUAAUAUUUGAAAAAUAAAAAAUUAUAAGCGUUUCCUAAAAUCAUUACCUAAUAAACUCUAAUUCUCUUUACUAGAGGCUUAUACGGGUUUUUAUAUUUUGCCUCCUAACCAUGUUAGAUAGGUGGUAACCAUGUUAUAAGAUUUUGGGCUAGCAUUGGCUAGUCUACACUUGUAUGUACUUAAUUUUUGUUUUUAAACAUAGAAAAUGAAAGUAACUUGGAUAUAAAAUAUAAAAACUUUUAGAGACUUACAUUAUUUCAAAUUUCAAAAUUUUUUAUAGUGAUUUUUAAAGAUAUAAGGUGAGUUUAUACUUUUGGUAAAAAAAAUUUCUAUUUUUUUAUAUAAAAAUUAUUACUACUUUUUGUGAUAAAAAAAUGUAUAAAAAAAUGUCAAUAUACAAAUAAUAAAAGUUGAAAGAACAUUUUCAAUGCAUAGAUUAUCUUAAGGGUUCAAAUGUGGGCUAAGCCUAAAACUUAAUAUUAAAUCUUCUCUCAUUCAAAUAAUAGUCUUUAUAAAUACUAGAAUAUCCUAAAUAGUUAUGGACCAAUAUUUCAAACAAAUUUCUCAAACAUUAGUAUCAAAAGAAACUUUCAUUAACCAUGACGAGCUCCCUAUUUUAAUCUAAAACAUGUAAAUAAACAUAAUUAACUUCAAUCGAAGCAAGAUUUAGAUUUGUAUUAUGGAUAAUAUAAAUCUAAAUAUUUUCUUAAAAGAUGAUCAUAAGUUUCUUAGUCCAUGACUUCAAUUAAUAGAAAAAAUAUUUAUAAGCUCAAUUUUGUUGGAAGACUUUUUAUAUUUUCUGGUAACUUACACUCCAUUAAAGAUUCAAGAUUAUUUAGAGUUAACUACAGAUUGGAUAGCACAAGUAUAAAGUUAUGAAAAGAACAAUAACUUUUAAUUGAAAAAGAUUUUGGAGAUCUAGUGCUCAUGCACUUGAAUCUAGCUUUCAAGGCUUGGAACACUCAAGUAUUGCUUGAGAGUACCCAAUAGCAAGCACUCAAGUAGUGUACUUAUCUCAUACUUGAGCACUCAAAAGAGGGGUUUCCAAAAAAUAAGUUUGCAUACAACACUCAUUAAAAAAAAUGAUUAUAUAUAUAUAUAUAUAUAUAUAUAUAGGGAGAAUUGUGUUUUGGGCCCAGCUGGGCCCAAAAAUUAACAAAUGGUCCAUAUAUGUUACAGAAUUAAUAGAAAGGCUAUGAGAUAUUGAGUGACCUAUAUACCCUUCAAAUUUCCAAGUCAGAUUGCUGUAAAUUAAAAGGGAGAAUUGUGUUAAAUGUGAAAUGCCAUGUCACCUGACUACAAAAAGGGUCACCACCAUCCUACCCCUUUAUCUCUCUUCGUAAACACCAUGAUCAAAGAGGAUGGCCACUGUGAAUGUCCCCCAACCGAUUUCUUCGGCAGGCGAGGGUUGUGAGCAAGUCAAAAAUCAGAAAAGCCUUGCAUCUAUUUUAUCAUCAUCAUCAUUUCAAAAUCCAAAUGACAGUGGGUGUAAAUUAUUUUCUCUCACAUUUUGAUUUGAUCAUAUCCAUCUUGGGUCAUAGGAAUGAAGCAUGAGGUAAGUAAAUUGAAGAAACUUACAAUGAAUAUUUUCGAAAAGAUCUCCUAUUAAAUGGCAUUUCACCUGUUUGAAAAUUCUUCACUUUAUAAUCUGGUUGUUGGCUUUAUAGUGUAGGCAAUAAAUGGGUAUGGUGGAGACGGUGAGCUAUGGGGAUUAGUUAGCGUACUUAUGAUGAAUAGGAAAGUAAAUUGGGUUUCAUUUUCCCCCUUUUCAGUCAGCCAUGACAUUGGGAUGUGGUUAACCUGGCCAUAUGCACUCUUUAAGUUAUAGGUAGGUCAAAUUCCUGCAACUGUACAAGGCAUUUACACCAACUGUACAAGGCAUGUACACCAACUGUACAAGGGUGUGUAUCUUAAGGGAUUUCGAGUGAUUUUUAAGAACUUGCUCAUUUACUUUUUCCAAUCGUGGGGGACAUUCCUCACACUUAUUGGUUGACAACAUACUCAUUGCAUGCAUUUUAUUUGAUAUCUACCAUGUUAAUUCAUUGUUUUAUCUCCCCUACAUUACUUAUGCGUAUGAACGGAAAUGAGGGUUCAUUUUUUCCUCCUUUUCCCUCAUCCACGAGAAUGGAAACAUUGUUGCCCCACCCAUAUGCACUUGUUCGGUUGUCCCUUCGGUGGAUUGCAUAACUGUACAAGCCAUUUACACUAACUGUACAAUCCAAAUGUGUUAACUGUACAAGUGUGUUCAACCCUACCUAUAUUGAAGGAUUUCAACUUUUUUUGAAAACAAUCGUUGCUCAUUUCCUUCUUUUUUUUUACUAGAGGGACAUCCCUCAUAGUCAUUCCUCAUUUCCCUUUGUACACAUUCAAAUGCCUUGUGGUAGCCCACUUAUGUUGCAUAGGAACCUAAAUUGGGUUUCAUUUUCCCCCUUUUCACUCAGCCAUAUCUUUGGAAUGUGGUUAACCCGCCCAUAUGCACUCCUUUAGUUGUAUUUAUGUGGAAUUGCUCCAAGUGUACAAGGCCUUUACACCAAGUGUACAAGGCCAAUGUACUAAAUGUACAAGGGUGUGUAUCUUAAGGUAUUUCAAGUGAUUUUGAAUAACUUAGUCAUCAACAUUUUCCACUCGUUGUGAACAUUCCUCACACAUAUCGGUUGACAACACACUCCUUCCAUGUAUAUUAUUUUAUUUGUACAAUGUUAGUUCAUUGUUUUAGCUCCCCCACAUUACUUAGGCGUAGGAAUCGAAAUGAGGGUUAAGUUUUUCCUCCUUUUCCCUUAUCCAUGGUAAUGGAAACAUUGUUGCCCCACCCAUAUGCACUUGUUCGAUCGUCCAUUUGGUGGAUUGCAUAACUGUACAAGCCAUUUACACUAACUGUACAAUCCAAAAGUGCUAACUGUACAAGUGUGUACAACCCUACCUAUAUUGAAGGAUUUCAAUUUUUUUGAAAAAAAUUCAUUGCUCAUUUCCUUAUUUUUUUGCUAGGGGGGCAUCCCUCACAGUCAUUCCUCAUUUCCCUUUGUACACAUUCAAAUGCCUUGUGGUAGCACACUUAUGUUGCAUAGGAACCUAAAUUGGGUUUCAUUUUCCCCUUUUUCACUCAGCCAUUUCUUUGGAAUGUGGUUAACCCGCCCAUAUGCACUCCUUCAGUUGUAUUUAAGUGGAAUUGCUCCAACUGUACAAGGCCUUUACACCAAGUGUACAAUGGCAAUGUACUAAAUGUACAAGAGUGUAUAAGGGUGUGUAUCUUAAGGUAUUUCAAGUGAUUUUGAAGAACUUAGUCAUCAAUAUUUUCCACUCGUCGUGAACAUUCCUCACACAUAUCGGUUGACAACACACUCCUUCCAUGUAUAUUAUUUUAUUUGUACAAUGUUAGUUCAUUGUUUUAGCUCCCCCACAUUACUUAGGCGUAGGAACCGAAAUGAGGGUUAAGUUUUUCCUCCUUUUCCCUUAUCCACGAUAAUGGAAACAUUGUUGUCCCACCCAUAUGCACUUGUUCGGUUGUCCCUUUGGUGGAUUGCAUAACUGUACAAGCCAUUUACACUAACUGUACAAUCCAAAAGUGCUAAUUGUACAAGUGUGUACAACCCUACCUACAUUGAAGGAUUUCAACUUUUUUUGAAAAAAAUUCAUUGAUGGUGGUGUUUACUUAUUGUUGGUUAGUGUUAUGACAAACAAUUUCUGUCUCCCUCUAUUCGCCUUGUUAUCUUGGGUAACAACACAUAAUUUCAAUAGACCAGUUUGUUGCCUUUAUGAAAAACUCUCAUUUGAUGUUGAUGUGAGGACAAAUAUCUUUGAGGUAUUUAAUUCAACAGCUUCAUGCAAAAUCAGAUAGUUAAUUCACAUUCUAUGGCUUUAGAGGUUUAUUUUCUCUUAAUUUUCAUCCUUCCAAUAUUCUUAAAUUAUGAGUAUGUUCACUUCUUUUGUUUGUAAGACGGAUUUAUGACUCUGCAUCAAUGGAAAAUUAUGUGCACAAUAUGGAGUGACGGAUAAUAGGAGAACUUAAACGAUUACAUGAGGGUGUCGAAUUGCACCUUUUCCUUUUCGUUUUUAGAUGAAGCAAAUAAAUGAUCUUUUAUCCUUGAACUAAUUGUUUUUCCCUUUAUGUGUGCAGGUGGGUUGAUUCUUGAAGUGGGAACUUUGUCACGAUUAAUACAAAUAAUUCAAAAUAAGAGGCUUAACAUCAGAUGAAAGAUGAGAAGAGAAAAACAGAGAAGUCUAGAUGAUCAAGAUAGUUUAUUUUAUAGGAAGCCAAUCUAUGUUAAGAGUUGGAUAAUAAGAUACCAACCUUCUUUUAAGUUUUUACAUUGUAACUAUUUUCAUUAAAUAGUAUCAUAUACGUUUCGGGACAUGUAAUUAUGCAUUUCAUUCCAAUUAAAAUUCCAAUGUAUUGAACUUAAAUUUUGGUUAUUUCGCAGUUUAUCAGCACAUGUUUCUUGUUUUUAAAUUUUGUUUUUCCUCCGUUUAUAUUGGUUGUUGGACAAAUAAUGACUCAUUCUCAUUUCAUGUCGUUCUCCAAGUUUGCUGAAGAAUUUCUUUACUUGAUAAUUUUAUUAAGUCAUUAAAUACAUUAAUCAUGUUUGUUAAGAUAAUUUCAUAGCCCAUAUUUUUAAUAUUAAAUUCAUUUCAUUAAUUAUUUACUAUUUAUAUCUCUAUAUCAUUUUAUAUGUACACCUUCAUAUUUAUUACAUAAUUUUUAUAGUCAAUAUUGUGUAGUACUAUAUGUUUGCAAAACUUUAAUUAUGAAUAUGUAAUAAAACAGUUACUAAUUAAAGAGUAAUAAAGAUAAAUGUCAAACUCAUUUACUUUUUCUAAAAGGGACAUUCCUCAUUUCCCUUCGUACACAUUCAUUGGAUGAGAUAGCGCGCUUAUGAUGAAUAGGAACCUCGAUUUGGUGUCAUUUUUCCCCAACUCGGUGAGCCAUGACAUUGGAACGUGGUUAACCCAGCCAUAUGCACUAGUUAUGUUGUAUCUAGGUUGAAUUUCUGCAACUGUACAAGGCAUUUACACUAAGUGUACAAGGCCAAUGUACUAAAAGUACAAGGGUGUACAAGGGUGUCUAUCUUACUUUUUCCAAACGUGGGGAACAAUCCUCACACAUGCUGCUUGAUAACACACGCAUUGCAUGCAAUUUAAUUGAUGUCUACCAUGUUCAUUCAUCCUAUUAGCUUCCCUAGUAAUGAUGAAUAUGAACCGAAAUUAGGGUAAACUUUUGUGUCAUUUUCCCUAGUCCAUGGUAAUGGAAACAUUGGUUACCUACCCAUAUUCACUUGAAAAUAUGUACCUAUUAGGGAUUUGGUGACUGGACAAGGCAUUUACACUAAGUGUACAAAGCAAAUGUGCUAACUAUACAAGUGUAUACAGGGGUGCCUAUCUUGAAGGAUUUGAAAUGCUUUUGAAAAAAUUGCUUGCUCGUUUAUUUUUUCUAAGAAGGACAUUCCUCAUUUCCCUUCGUACACAUUCAUUGGAUGAGAUAGCGCGUUUAUGAUGAAUAGGAACCUCGAUUUGGUGUCAUUUUUCCCCAACUUGGUGAGCCAUGACAUUGGAACGUGGUUAACAUAGCCAUAUGCACUAGUUAUGUUGUAUCUAGGUUGAAUUUCUGCAACUGUACAAGGCAUUUACACUAAGUGUACAAGGCCAAUGUACUAAAAGUACAAGGGUGUACAAGGGUGUCUAUCUUACUUUUUCCAAACAUGAGGAACAACAACAGCCAACAUACGAACCCAGAGGACUAUACAAAAUUCAUUGUGCUGAAACUUAUGGAAGAACUCACAAAACAUCAUUAUGGGGUUGAGCUGCUUUAGUUCAGGAAUCCCAGCAAGAGAGACAUCUUGCUUUGUAUGAAAAACACGUCCUUCAAUAAUUGUAACAGUUGUAAAUUAUGAAUUAUAGAGGUAACCUGCCUGUAAUCUAAUGAGAAUUGACUUGAUAGAUUAGCUUUUUAACCAAGUACUUAGUGAUGAAAAUGUGUUUUGUGCUUGAACGGUGUCAUUCCCAUUAGUCCAAAAUUUUGGGAUGAUGAUCGCCAUUUUUCGAUGUGUUGAAUGAUUACUUUUAAGGUGUGGAGCUACUGCAUUCUGAGAAUGGUUAAUAAUAAUUUUUAAAAUCAUACAUAAUAACUUCCAAAAUAAAGACUAAUAAUUUUCAAGUGAUUGUGGAUUAUUCUUGAGUUUCCCUUUUCUCUUGUCUGAACUUGCUAGUUCCCAAUACUAAAGUAGGAGUCCAUUGAUAAUUUAAACACAAAUAUUGACUAUAAGUCUCUGAAAAACCUUAUUACUAUAAUCAAUCAAGCCAAUAUCCACCCAACUAACCCAAGGGCAAAGUGGGUUCUUAUUACCAAGCCAUGAGCAAUUUUGCCCACAAAAAAAACCUAGGACAAAAAAGGGAAAAAGCCACACGAAAAAAUGUUUUAUAUAUAUAUAUGAAAAAAAAAAAGAUCUCAAACCACAUGGCAUCCACAUGAUUGAGAAACACCAAUUUAGAAUUUAUUUUGAUAGGGGAUUUACUUUAUAGAAUAUUUUUUUAAAACAAGUUAUUUUUGUUCAAAACCCCCAUGAACAUGCAGUCUGAUGAUGUACAAGGCAUAAGAGUAGAGAAAUGAAAGGAAUGGAUAUUCAUGGCAUAUUUUCUAGUGCAAUUUUCUAAAAGAAUAAUGGCGUAUUUUCUUAUGACUGUAGACAGUUGAUGGAUGAGAUCAAUUAGUCAUAAUUCUACCCUUAUUGCAAGAUCAUUCUUCGCCGAGAUCCUUUUGCUUUCCCUUCGGGGCUUUGGAUUCCUGAAUUGUAAUCCUUUUCCUUCUCCCUUCCAAUUAAGGAAUGCAAGCACGCAACCUGGUUUCACCCACACAUCUUGCCCUCUUAUAUAAAGCCACCACCGAAGGCCUUAUGAACUAAACAGAGAUAUCCAGUUUAAUUUAAGAACUUUGUCAAAUGAAGAAAGUAAUUGCUCUGGCAGAAAUAUCAACUGAUUUAAUUUCUGACAGUCGUACAUCAACCUCCAUAGCAUUACAUCUACUAAAAGGGUUCCUAUUCUAGUUUCACAUGUAGAAUUGCAUUUAUAAUUCAUACACUACAUUCCAACUUCAACCAAACAAAAGCUAAAACAAAAGGCCUAAGCUAGAGCCAUUUGCAUUUCAGCACCCAGAUUGCCUAAGCCUGCAUUGAGGCUGUGUACACCCAAGGUUGCCAGGAUUGAUGAUGAGCCCCUGAUGAAGCCAAGGUUUCCAUCUUCACCAUUGGAACAACCAACAGCAAGUGAUCAGAUAUUCAAUGGCAAAUCGGGUGGGCACGACACUACCAACAGGCACUGCAUGACUUGUGGGCACGUCGUGUGACACUGGCAACAUGUGAUGGCAUGCUCAUGUGCUUCAAUUAAGUUACGGGCUCCGACACUCUGAAACUUUCCCUAAGUCGCUAGAGGCUUUAGACGAAUUUUUCAAGUGAUAUAACUUUCCCUUCGAAACUUUCACCGACUUCUAUUGAACAGCAGAAGCUAAAACGGGCACAUGAAAAUAUUUUGUAUAACACAAAAAAAAAAUACCUUGCGCUUCCAAUAAGUAUAUCCAAACAAGACUUAUGUCACGCAAAUUGUGCGACAUGCAGGAAAAGCUAGAGAGGUAGAUGUCUAAGGUGAAGAGAAGUGAUGAAAAUGUACAACAAACAUGAAGGAUGGUUUAAUUCAAGUCAAUCAGAACCCAGUUGACCCAACUAAGGAAGAGUAUGAUGCAUUCUCAUCACUGGCUGUUGGCCUCUUCUCACCAUCCCUGUUUGAUGCUCCAUUCCCAAUUUUGGGAAGCAGCCCUGUUUCUAGACCAGCCAUAUCAUGCAACUCUAAUCGUCGCUGUUUUGCUUCUUCUAUAUCACCUUCCCAGCAAGUUUCGGAAAUAAUUUCAAGCGCUUUCUCCAUCUUAUCCUCUGUCACAAGCUCUCCAUUUUGCAGGAGGACAAGGUAAAUUUGUUCAGCAGAAGCCUUCCGGAUCUAAGGGAGAUAGCAAAAAACCAAUCCAUCAGCAAAGGACGAUUUAUUAUAUAAUUGAGAGGCAAAAUUUUUAAGGUUUAAAAUUCAGUAAAAGUGAUAAUAUUUUGUGUGCACCACAUACCUUGGGAUAUCUAUGGCCCAGGAAAGUGAGAAGAUGAGAAAAGGCUCAGGUGUUGACGGAUUCUGGAACGGAAGCAAUAUACCCAAGUAUUGCAAUGCCAGCAUAUAACUUGGAGAAAUCCUUUGUCGCUUUCAAUUCCACUGCCAGAGAAUCCAAAACACCAGCAUAGAAGAUUGGAGUAUGGCCCUGGAAAUUGAGAUAUCUUAAAAAUGUGUUGACACCAAAGAAUUAAAACUACUGACAUAUAAUUCCAUAAAGGAAUCAGGAUCAUGCAAAAACCAAUAUUAGCUUAAUCUUUCUGAUUACAAGAAUUUAGUCGGAUAGAAAAUUUUAUUAACAAUUCCAGAAUUGCAUGAAGGGUUCAUUGUUGUCCUGGAACAUCUAACUGUCCUGUCAUUUUCACCUUGUUUCUAUUUUUUGGUCUUGGUAUGGAUUGAAGUAGAACAGAAAAUAAACUAACCAAGUCCAGGGAAUGCAUUCAACCAACAUGGGAAGUCAAAACAAAUAUAAAGUUCUCUUGAAUGAAAUGAUAAAUUUUCCACUAACAUUGCCUGACAAGGGACACCAUUUAUCUGGCAUGCUUUCACAUCUCAAGAAAUUGAGACUUCUGAAUUCAAUAUUCUAGGGAAUCAUGAAUUUAUGAACCAGUCUAUAUGUCAGCACAAAAACUGAGCUGAUAAGAUCUAGAAAAGAAAAAAUAAUGCAAGUGAUCAAAAAACUACUUUGAUUAAAUUAGUAAUUCUUUUGCAUCAGUAAGCCAGAUUUCAAUUUAAUGGCUUGAAAGGUCAGGAUUGUCUGUGUAUUAUAGAAAAAUGCAUAGAAUUGGAGAAACUCUUCUGGUUGGAUGAAAUGAUAGAUCCUAUUACAAAAAAAAUUAAAUUUUAAUAUUUUAAUAAAUGCCUCUACAAUAACCAUUCUUUCAUACAAUUAACAAUGAUGUACCAAUAGAAUCAAACAGAAAUCUUCAAAUUGAUAGCAAUGAACAAAAAAUUGAAUGGGAAAAAAAUUGAAACAUUCUAUCAUCUGUGAAUUAGCAUAGCAAUAAAAGGAGAGUGUCAACUAACCUCCAUGUUCAAUAAUAUCUUUUUGCUGAAAAGAAUCUCAAUGGUCUGAAAUACAGAGGUAAUUUCAUUAAAAAUAAUUCAUCUGAAAGAAGAUAGGGCCUAAAUCUGAGAAAAAAAUAUCUAUAGAAGAGUGGAAGUAGAGGUGUAAACAUGCAAAAGGAAUCAUGGAAACCCAUAUAAAUGCACAAUAUGCAACAGCAAAGUAUAGGCUAUUGAAAUGCAAAAGAUGCAAUAAAUACGAAAACAGAGAGAAUCUAAAAGCUGAAGAUAUAUCUUUCAAAAGCACAUGGGAAGGGCAUGUUUUUGUCUAGGGAUGAACCAUUGCAGAGUCUAGGACCACAAGAUAUAGCAUUCCACUUGGUUGAAUUUCUCAUCAAUCACAUUUUUCUUUCAUCAGUUUCAAUUCUCAAUUUUCGUUAAGAAAUCUAAAUAGUGGAGAAUGGCAACCCUGUACAAGAAACAGCAUAGUGGUGAUUAAAAAGUGCCUUUUGCAUUAGGUGAAAUAUGGAAGUAACCUAUGCCCCAAUGGGUAAGGAGAGAACAACGCAUAGACCCAACCAUGGCUAGAAUAUGGAUGUCUAGAGAUGAGCAUUAAUAUAUUCUUAAGGCUUCGUUUAAAGCAUUAUGAUUUGUAACAGAAGUUCCUUUGUGGUGAUGGGUAAUAGAUUCAAAACCAACAAACUCACUGGCAGAGUAACAUUGAUAAGCAUUGGAAAUAUGUCUAACUGCAAAAUCGAACCCAUAGUGCUAGUUGUUCCAAAUGAAAACACAAACUACUAAAAACAUAAGCUGUGAAAGCAAGAUAUAGCAAGAAAGUGAACUAUAAACAGUCCCCACCAGAAUGCCAGCAAAAUGAUCCUAAAAAUGUAGGUAUAUACUGACUUUAUUUCUGGUUAAUUUUAAUAUGAUAAUGUAUUGGUCUAGUUACUAUAAUGGUAUAGUGGGGGUUCAGUAGAUCUGGGUUCUAUCAGUGCAUGCAUGCACAAAACAACAGAACAGACUUACUUCCAGGGAUCAUCCCCAACAAGAAGUACAUCAUUCUCAUAAUCCACAUACACCAUUUUCCAACUUGAGCCUUUCUCGUCGUUGAGCACAUCUUCAACUCCAAGCAUGCAUUCAAUUGCCUAGCAUAAUUCUUCAUAAUUCUUAAAACUUGCAACAUCAAUUGACCUCCCAACUGAUCCCAUUUUUUGAACCUGCCAUAGCAAAAAAUGCCAUCAAAACCAGAACUCCCUGUUUUCUAAGAAAAAAAUCCACCAAAAAAGAAUGUAAAACAGUUCGUUGGCAAACAUAGAAACGUCAAUGUGUAGCGAAAUGGAGUUUGCAGUGACAUUAUGGUAGUAACAAUAUGUUAAAACUAAACUGGGCACACACUGGAUCAAGGAGGCAUGUAGGAGUGUUGUUGACUUGUUUCAAUAUACUUCAGGUGGUAAUGAUGGGCAUGCCUCAAUCUUUUUGAUGAAAAAGAGACAAUGUAGUCAUUUAAAGAUAUACAAAUUGUUAGUUAAAAAAAAUUUGUAUCAGCAGAAAUAAUACAUGGUACUGUAAAACAUACCACAAGGUGAGUCUACCACAAACCAGUACGCAUGUGGCACACAUAUAGAGACCAGGAAUCAAUAAUAAGUUAAUGUCUAUAUGGAAAUGAGCUCUCAAAUACUACUCUAUCAUGAGACAUUGCAUCUAUGAAUUUACUUGACACAUUGUUCUUAACACAAAUUUUUAUGUUUUAAACAAAAAACAAAAUUUGCCGAUGCUAAAUAUACUGAUCACUUCCAAUCAGGCAAGAAAAUAUUCAACCUCAGAUACUAAGUCACACCAAAGCUUAUGGGGAUCCCAAUCCAUUUAUAUGGAGCCAGGAUUGUGGCUCUACAAUGAUUGGCCAAUGGUUAUUUAGCUGAUGAUUCCUAUACAAUAUCCUAAAUUAAAAAGACCUACAGGAGAAACAAAUUAGAACAAGUGAUCUAGAGUUAUUCAGUAUUGGGGCAGAUUUAGUCCAGCGCCACCCAGAAACCAUGCUUGCACUUUUAACCGACAAAAUAAUUUAUUACAGGACAAAAUAAGGAGAGUUGAUUUCUAUAGUAGGAUUGAUAAGUUACCUUCUCAUUUACCAAUUCAGUGAUGACAGAUGCACAUUGCUGCAAUGACUUAAUCCUUGUCAUGCAGUGAGUUGAUGGUUGCUCUAAAGCAUCUCCUAUAUCCAUGGAUCCUUGUGAAGUCCCAGAAGAUGCCGAGCUAUGACUUUCCAAGCUUCCAGUAUAACAUGUGUUAGUGAUUCCUGCACCAGCAAUUGGCAUUGGUGCACUUGAUUUGGUCUUCAUAUUUACAGAUGUUAGAGGGGCACUCCCUGAUUUGCAUUGUGAAUGACUUGGCUUGGAAGCAAUAGCUGAGGAAGAUGAUACAUCCAUUGGGGGUCCAGAUACAAAAACAUAAUCUUGAUCAACCAACUCCUCCAAUGAAUCCACAACUGUGGAAUCCAUACAAAUAAGAUAAUAAAAAAGAACAUAAAUUUUAGCAACACGUUUUUUUUUAUAAUAGAAUAUUAAAAUGAGCAAUGAAAUAUUAUUGAAAACAUUGGUACCUCUUGAACAACUUCUCAUUGGUCUUUGUUCCAUGGAUUUUAGAGGUUCUUUGACAUUCUCAUUUGAAGGCCUAAGAUUGUCAAUCCUAAAGCCAGUAAUUUCUGGUUUAUGUGAUGUACUGUUGUAUUUAAAAGCAGGAUCCGUGUUGUUCGAAGUGUUAAAUAUUGUUUCCCUUAUAUCAACUUUGUUAUCAAGAGAAAAUCCAUAGGUAGACUUCAUUGAGGACCUCUUCCUCAAAAAUGAUGGGCUCCCUUCAGCACCACUAGAAUCAUCAUCUAGAGGAAAAGACAUACAAUCCUCUUGAGAACUUGCCUCUGUUUUUCUCACAGGAUUGCAUUCAGAAAAAGGAAACCCAUCAUUUAUUCUUGAUGAUCUCCUACUAUUGCAUGCCACGAAGGAUUUUAACAUGAGUAAAUAAUGAAAAUAUCAUAUGCCAAGAUCGAGAAGAGUAAAAAAAAUUUUCUCCUUUACCUUAACGCUUCAUCUGGUUGCUUUUGAGAAAGGAAUAGGUGGUUAAACAACUCUUCAAAUGUUAGUCGUUCCACUGCAUAUACAAGGACAUAGAAGGGUCAAAGAGCUAUUCAACCUCAAUAAGCCUUUAGUUUUAGAACUACAGUGAUUUCUUUUUGGCACAAUCAGAUAUCAUAUAUGUUUCACUUUUGUAUCAUCUUUAGUUGUUUUAGGCUUUUCACUUGGUGCCAUUAAGAAUUCCUAGCAACAAACAGGUUUCCCCAAUAAAACACACACACACACACACACACACACACAUAUAUAUAUAUAUAUAAAUGCUGCCAGUUUCGAGCUAAAUUCUGUGAAAUACCUGGAUUGCGGCGCAGCAAUUUCUGACACAAAUCUUUGCAGUUAGCACUCAAAGCAUUAUUAUCAGGAGGGAAAUGCAAUUCACUAUAUUUAACAAUGUUUUGGAGCAACUGCUCAAGAAACAAGACAAAAGGUUAAUCAAGGAAAAGUUAAGGGCACAAAGAAAGACAAAUUAAACAUAGCUACAGAAUUAUUACUACUUAAAUUAAACACAAAAAGAAUCAAUAAUUAAACCAAGUUGAAAACCCAACCACUACAAAUGAUUAUUUCAGAUGUGCUAAAAAAAAUAAAAAGAAAAAAAAAACCUGUAUAUGAUUGUUUCUUGUAAACGGUGUUCUUCCAGUCACAAGUUGAAAGAUAAUGGCACAAACACUCCAGAGAUCUGCCUGCGUAUUUGGUUGAAGUUAAUAGGAGAAGGUUAUGCGAGAAAAUGGAUGGAUUCUUACAGAUGGAGAAAGUAAAUAUCACCUUUGCGUCAUAUUUCUGAAGUUGCAUUAUCUCUGGCGCCAUGUACAAUGGUGAACCACACAAUGUUUCUGCAAGACCUCUAGGUUGUAGAGAUCUGCCAAAAAAGAAUCGGAACAUAUAAACUUAUUGAAAGGACCUUAACUAUAUAACCCAUUUAGCUGUACUAGAAACUAGAAACGUUAAACAAAAGGAUUUUUAAAAUGAAAGAGAACAGGUUUCAUUUCAAUGAAUAUUUACACCCUUUGAAAUCAGCAAUCUUCAAUACUGAAUUGUUGUCAUUUGUGGAGAGAAGAAGAUUUUGUUCCAAGUAAUACAUAUGCCAAAUGGAAUUAGAUCUUAUGCAAUGCCUCUUUUGCACAGGAUGUACAACAUAAAGAAUACCCAUCACUAAAAUUCCCAUCGUAUUUGCAGAGGAUAUAAAUUUUGAUGGGCAUGCCCUAUAGAAAAUUUAAAAUCAUGACAAAGUCAAACACAAAACAAGAGCCAAUAUAUAUAUUUAUAACUUUUUUAUUAAAAAGAAAAAGUAGACAAGAAAAAAAGCAUGCCUGGGAUUGUAGAAAAUGGUAAAUGGGCUUCGGUUAGCCGCAGCAUGAGAUGUAGCUGCAAGAACUCCAAUAUGCAGGCUAUCAGUGGACAGAACUGAUGAUGGCAAUGAUGUUUGUUGACGGUUUGCACGCCUCACACCAAACAAUAGCUGUGAUUUCUCUUCUCUUGUGAUGACAAUGAAUACAAGAUAAUGAGGUUAGCUAAAAUAUAUUUUUUAGAAUGCAAUAUAUUAUUAAACAAGCAUUAAACAUGUGCCUAUGAAAUAGACUUGAGUGAUUGUCCAAUAUGGAUACAUCAUACAAGGGUCAAAACUUUCAGAUGUCCUAAGAGUUUCUUUCGACAGUUUCAAGGAUGACAAACCACAUUAGAAACUUUCCCAAUAUUGGCACAGGUUGUCACCAAUCUCAUACACAAGAUGUUAAAAACAGAAUAAGGGAAAAAGAAAAAGAAAACCUAAUUAUUGCGUGCCUACAUAAUCAGAACAUCAAACUUGAAUUCUGGUUUCAUAAAAACUUGGAUGCAUAAUAAUCAGUCAACUAAAAUGAAGCCAUUAUUUGACGUCUACCUAGACCACAUCUAUGUGGAACCUAAUCAUACUUAAGCUAGAAAUAACUUUUUAUGAAAAUUUCCAAUGAAUGUUAUAUAGUACCUAGUUUAUGAUCAUCUUCAAACUUAAGCAUGGCGUGUCAUGAUUAUCAAGAAAUAAAGGUUCCCUCACCAUCAGCAAUUUGCUAUCAUUCAAGUUUAAAUACACUUAUGUUAUUAUUCACAGCCAAAUAUCAAUGAUUGGGGUCAAGAAAGGGGAAUAUCUCAUCAUGAUUAACAAAAAUAUUUACCUCGAUGUUGCCUACAUCCCACAUUGGUUGCCUGCAGCUAUUUUGAUCAUCUAACAUAUUUCCAGCCUGCUUGUUACAAUGAAAAGGUGAUAACUCACUGGUUUUUGUUCUCUAUCUUUCAGAACUGUUGGAAAAUGAAUGUUGAAUGUCCUCUGGUUUUCCUUUUUCCUUGCCAGAGCUGCCUUCAAAGUACCAAUCUGAAAUAAUAGUUCAAAGUUUUCAGAAUAAUAAAUAAGAAUUGAGAAGAAUGAUAAAUAAUGAGAGCAUUCAGAACCUGUUCUUUCAGCUCUUUCACAUCUGCACUAUCCUUGUUUACACGAGCAGCAUCAAGUUCUACAGUGGCAAAUCGCUCUGCAAAUUUAACUGUGCUAAUUGUUUCUCCAUCAGCAUCCGGUUCAGGGCUAAUGUGAACAAACAUUAGUGUCUUGGCUUGCCCCCCUAAAGAGAAUUACAAUCCAAAAGCCAUAUUAUAAUUUAAAAAAUAAAAUUAAAGAAAACAGAAUCAAAUAUGAGGUUCAUACUCUGAAAAUGCAUUAGUUUAUUCUUACCAAGUGAGUCUUGAAGAAGUUUUGUUACUUAACUAUUCCUGUAAGGGACAUGUGGACUCUUCUGGGCAAGGGCAGAGAUGACAUCCCCUAAAACAGAGAGAGAUCUGUUAAUAUGCUGUGCCUCCUUUAGUCUAUCUCCAUUGACCUCAAAUUUGUCUACUCUCUCACUGUCGGCCUGAUCAACAAGAUGCAUACAGCCACGAAGAAUAGUUCCUGACAUCAAGUCUCUUCCUGAUUCAUUCUAAUAAUAUUUAAUUCUCUCUAUUUACUUAUUAUGCAAUCACAAUCAACUUAAGUUAAAAAACAAUCAAACUCUGACUAAUCCCAUAAUCCCAGUGUUCAUUUCCGCAUAUGACACCAAAAAAAAAUUUAAAGAACUACAUUUGUCCACCAUAAAUUACAUACAAAUGUUAGCACUUUAUACAGUUUUAUCACAAAUUACAAUCCCCUUUAAUCUCUCCGGACAUGGUCUCGGUGUGCAUUUUGUGCUGAAAGCAACAUACUCCCCAUAAUCUUCAACCUGUAAUGUUUCAAUUUCCCCUGCAUUCAUUCAAGUUGAUAGCAACAAAUCAGCAAAUUAAUUAAUUAGGCUUUUCUAACUAUUUUAACAUUAAUGAGAUAGUCAUAGAUAAUUCCUCCUACGUACCACAUCGAUUGAUUUGGAGAACCCCCCCAUUGACCACAAUUCCAUGAAUUUCAUUACAAAAACUCCGCAAUCGUGCCUACGUCAAUAUAAUUACCAAAACGUUAUUAAGUGUGGAAUUAUAAAUAAGAGAUGAACUUAAAAUAAGUUGCAAUCCUAUACAAUAUCCCGGACUGCAAGGUCAACACUCACUCAUUAGGUUGGAGGGGUACAUCAGGUGUUAUGAAAUUCAAUGUCCUCAAAUCAUAAGGUGAUACCUCUUUUUUGUGGGCAGCCAACCACAAGACAACCUUGGCCUGAAACAUUUAUUAACGCAACAAUUGAAAUUUUUAUGGGAAGACAUACCUAACAAAUUAUUAGUUGUUGCUUGUUACUUUACCAGAUUUUGUUGAACUCCACUCAACAUUGUCUUCUUCCUACCAGGACGAGAAUCUAGCAGUUGGAUUCUCUUGUUUGCUAGGUCAUAUACGUACAAUGUCCAAUGGUUCUUUAUGAGAACCGGUAAGAAGACCUGCACCAAUAGACUGCCAUUAAACAUACAUCUAAAUAUUGUACCUUCAUGCAAUAAAAAUACAAAUCCAAGCAUUAAACAUAGGAAUCCACCUCGUUAACAUUGACAUAUGGAAUAUCCAUCUGAUACAGAUGUGGUUCAAAGUGUCCUAUAACUACCUCCCUCACUAAGUGUUUUGCUUGGGAGUGGAUUAUCAUUUCCUGCAUGUCAAAUAGGGGAUAAUAUCAGGUUUGUCAUUGUAGGUGAUGCUUGGUUCAAGACAAAAAAUAAAGUUAAGCAAGGAUUUAAUGGAAUAGUAAUCAUUACAGCUAUGUAGGGGGAUAGAAACAGUUUCGACUUCGAUUCAUGUUCAUACUGCAACAAUCUACAGUAGGCAUCGACGACCUGAUUUCAUAUAUCAUAAAAGUGUAAGCAACUAAUUAUAUUAGAACCACACUUUCAUUUUCAAACUUAAAAUAAUGCAUAAAGAGGGAUAAGAAGUGAUAUGCACGUCGCUUCCUAUCCACCCAUUCCCUUCGAAGCAGCCCAAAUUACCUCUGGUUAGGAUAGUGUCAUGCAUAGACACUAGUUCCUCAUUGUUACAAACACAUACAAUUUAGUUUUUAUGUUUUCACGAUCAUACAAUGAGAGGAGUGUCAUUGAAGUAUGUUACCUAGCAUCCAAAUCCUCUCCAAAUACCAGUGCAACUGCUUGUUUUAGGUCGAUUUUGAUGGCAGAUUGUUUGGUUUGUGGUUGGGAUAUGUAUGGGGACAACAGGUUUGGAGCCAUUCGACACACUCGACGUUUUCGGACGUUCCUAUUUGUGGGGACAACAUUACCUUCUGGUUGUUCUUCACCAUCUGCAAUACGAGAUUUAGAACUAGUCAGCAAAGGUAUACAUUAUGAUUGGGUACUUGGGUUGUUAACCAUAUGGGUGUUUGCAUAAAUUUUAUCACUUACUGCUUACUACAUUAAUGGGUACACUGGACUGCAACUCAUACUCAGGGGCGACAACGCGAUCUGGUGUGUCUAGCACAUGGUUUGCAGCAUGCGAAGCCAUGUACUCAUCACCAAGAAAUGCAUGGUCAUUGGUUGUGGGAGUGUUGGCUGGUGCAUAGCUAGAGUGACCACCCACAUCUGAAUUUACCCCACUAUGUCUUCGAGUCCCUAACUUAUGCAUAAGGCCACACAUUAUUCUCAGCUGCUGCUGAAUGCCCCGUUGAUAUUGGUCAAUUGCUCGUUCUGCAUCAUGAUAUUGAUGCCAUAUUUCCUAUGACAUGAUAUUGAUGUCAAUUUUUGAGAACAAAAUGUGACAACAACAUAUUUCUUUGUAGUUAAGAAGUAAAAAUAAAUUACAAUGACAAUGAAAUGAACAUUUAUUAAGUUUUUAAAAAAUUAACAACUUACAUCACUAUUUUCAGCAUCAACAUUUGUGUCAUGGUCCACAUUAGUCUCUGGCUCCAUAGUUCUCUCUACGGUUGGAGAUCUCUAGGACGCCUAUAAUUAGCACUGAAGAUUAGUACUUAAAUAAUGAGUGUUAUGCUGGUAAUGACAAUAUAUUUAUGCAUGCAUCACUUACAAAAUCAAUCUCAGCAUGUCCGAAUGCUCCAAACUCCUUUAUCUCAGCGACUAGUCAUCGCUUAAUCAAAUCAUCGGUCCAUGCCAAUGCUGGGGGCACUGUAAUGGGGACUUGGACUGAAGGAAUUUGGAAUUUAAUGACAUAAUGCAGCUGCAUAAUAAAUACAAACAUCAGUAGGCAAAUGUGACUAUGUUGUGCAAUAAAAUUAUAUAACAAAAUGGAAGACAAAGAUUGAAUAAGUUCACUACCUGUAGAAAUAAAACGCAGCCAUGUACCCAAGAGGUGUUAGACUGUUGGUAUUGCCUAAUUCCCUCAAUUAGUUGGUCAAGCACAAACUGGGCCCAAUUAACGUCAUUUCGGAAUCCAUCCUCAUGGAUGGUAUGCCACAAGUUACGGCAACCAUUGAGCCUAGAUGUGGGGGCCAACAAUGUGGCACAUGCGUAGUAAAUGAAUGCUUUACGGAACUCCUCGCCUAUAGGUAAGUUCAGGAGUUUCUCCUCGCAUGCCCGAAUAGUCCCAAAUGGAUGCUCUGAUGAUGUAGAGGUCACCUGCAAAAUCCGCCCUUCUGUUGGGAGGCCGAAAAUGAGGCCAACAUCGGUGGCUGUAACAGGAUAGUGUUUCUGGGCUGAGAACUCUAUCCGUCUAAAUCCAACAUUGAAAUGUUGGAUUAGAAAGAUACAAAUGUUGUGGCGCACCUCUAUGCAGUCUAAGUUUAAGAGACCUCCAAAUUGGAGGUCUCUUAUGGCUUGUAUUUUUUCCUCUGGUAACCGGUUGUAGAGUUUCUUAAAUCUUGCAGCUGAGCAUCGUGUAAACAUUGAUGUGCCCUGCAUGCAAUGUUUGACAACAUGGACAUGUUAGGAAUAGCGACAUUUUUGCAAUUGGUAAUGCAAAAAAUAAGUGAAAAAGUAAAGCUGUCAUUUCUCAAAGUUACAAAGACUUGUCUGCUUGUAUUUAGAAAUAAUAUACAACAGGGUAAGACAUUAGAUGGGGUUGGGUGCUACUGACAGUGAGAUAUCCUGUAAGAAGGAGGAUUGUAAAUUUAUGAAUAAGCCUAUAUAGAAUAGACAAUAACAGUAAAAAUGUACAGAAUAGACUAUAAAAGUACAAAACUAAAUAUGAGAAUACUACAUGAUAUAUAAAAGAAAGAAAUCAAAUCAAUUUAUGGAAAUAAAUUGACUAAUUCUAUUAGAGAAAGAAACCAUCAAAAAAUCAAUGAAUAAUCCUAUUUAAUUCUCAUUUAGAUUGUAAGACAACUUGAUAGAACAAAAAUCCUUGGUAAUGAAUUUGUGAUCUUCAACAACAACUAACAAAUGGAGUGAACAGAAAAUGCUAUGGAAAAGCAGAUUUCUUUCAUUGCCUUAACAUGCUUACAAUAAAAUGCUUGAGAAAGUGGAAAUAAAAGCUCACAAACUGAAAGGCCUUGUAUUCGUAUUCCCUCGCACACACUGGGUUUUGUGUCAGGAAUCAUCUUUACAAUAAUUCUAUUCCCCCAAGUGUUUUCCACUAUAUUGAACAACAUGGUGGCUACUAAGGGUCUUGCAUUCAUGGAUGUGAGCAAGAGAAAAAACUCAAAGAGAUCUCUUUGUUUUCCCUGUUCUUUUCAUUCUUCUGGCUAUUUAAAAGGGGUUUAACCUGCUCCUUUUGAUACUUCUGACAUACACAAAAUCUAGAGGAACUGCUAGAGCAAGCACUAUUAUGUGGUGAAGCAUUACACUAGGUAAGGAAGUUCAUUUUGACUUAAAACUUUUAUAGGUUUUAUAAAAUAUGGUUUGAGGUGACACAACCGAACAUACUUUUAGUAUAUCCAUUAGCAUUAAUCCCAUCCCCAUCACCAUUCCUACCACAACACCUCUCUUUAUCCUUUCCUCUACCCUCCUCCCUCCUCCUAGAGGACAUGGUUUUUGCCUAUCCCCACAGCUAUAUAGCGAAGACCAUUAGAUCCCUAAAGCAUAAUUUUAUAUGGCGUUAGUGAUUCGUGCCCAGUCGGUGUAUCAACUGAUUCGUGUCCAGCUGGUAUCCUUGAUUGCGGGAGUAAUCAACAAAAUUUAUAACCUAUUACACCAUGAACUAGGGUAGCAAAGACAAAGCUACUAAAGCAUAGUGGCUUUAGGAUCGUUCAUUGGGAUGGGUUUUCACUUCACAAUUGAUAUUAAUUCAAAGCUGAAUUGGUGUCUUUUCAUUUCAAGGUUAGCUUUAAAAGAAAACAUAAAGAUGUUUGAAUGAAAAAGGUUUGGUUUUAAACUAACCAAAAAUUAGUAACUGAUUUUACUUACAAGGAAAAGUGUUUCUUGGAGUUUAGAUCACUAGGAUCAGAUUCCUUGAACAAAAAGGGAGUUCCGGUCACUUGUUUAUUUUCCUCGCAUUGGGGAUUUAACAUAUAGUUAUUUCCCAAAUCGGUAUUGUACAGAUGCUUCCCAUUAAUGGGUUCAAACACUAAAUCUCUCUCACUUAUGCACCUUGCAAUGGCUCAUACCUCUCACCUAGCACUUGCCAUUCAAGGUGAUCUUUAACCUUGGAUUAUCCGUCAAAAGCUCACAAGAGAUAACUAAUGGAUGUCUCCUUAGAGUCCAAAAGCUUACCAAGUGUUGGCUAUUCUAGAAAAUCCUACCUUCAAACCACCUCCCAAAGGCUCGCAAGAGAUAAACUAGUGCAUCUCAAUGGAUGGAGAUCACUUGCCUUAUCAAGUGUUGGCCCAGGUGAUUUAAAGGCGUUUUAAGUUAAACUAAAAAGAUAAAAACCAUUAACGGGUCACACUUUCUCUUCAUUAAAAACUAAAACAACAAAACUUCCAAUUUAUGCAUGUGGAAACUUACCCAACUUUCCUUACUCCAAGAGACGAAGAGUCUAGCCUCUCAUCCUCUGAGGAAAAAUCCUCAGAGUUUGAUUGGCUAGAAAGAAAAAGAAUGAGAAAACAAAAGCAGAGCAAGUGCUCUGUAUUUUACUUCCUUGCAAAACUGUACAAAGGAUUGAUCUCUGAGAACAAACUCCUAGGAUCUAUGAUCGAUAAUAUAUUCGAUAUAUUUUUUAUAUAUUUCAUGUAAAGGAAAUUACAAACUAUAUAUAAGGGUUUAUUCACCCUUUUUCCAAACUUAAUAACUAAGGAAUCCUAUAAUUGGUGGGCUACAAGGAGACUUUGGGAAUUUAGACAUAAAAUAUCUAAAGCAAAAUAUCUCAAAAUAUUUAGAGCAAAAUAUCCCAAAGUGUCGGUCGUAAAUAUCUGGAAGCUUCAGGAGAACACCGCAGCACUGUGCAAAAUGGCUGCUCUCCCAUUCGGGUAGGCGGCUAUCAGAUGAUCCGGAUACGUCCGUCCGAAGAAGUUGAAACACUCUCCUUUUCUAUCCGGCGUCAGAAUUCCGGACGUGAACAUUCGGGUGGAAGUGGCGGCAGCCAGGUACAAAUUGGCGGCAGCCGGGUACAAAUUGGCGGUAGCCGAGUCCAAAAUGGCGGCAGCCGGGUGCAAAUCCUAUCCAGAUAUGUGGUCCGGACGCCCUCCGAUGGUGUAUCCGGACGCCCUGUCCAGGUAUACUCCUUACAUGGAUUCCAAAGAACUCUCCUCCAUCUCAGAUUUGCUUUGGUGAUCAAAAAGCUAUCAAAACACCAAAACUUAACAUACUUUGAUUAGAAUUGAUUGCAAGGGUCCUUAACAUGCCAAUUGAGUUAAAAGGUGGUAACUACUACUCAAAAGUGUUUAAAAGAGUUAGUUACAAGCUAUGAAAUAUCACUUUUUGAGUAGUAAUCAUUUAGUGAACCACAUUUUCCAUAUUACCAAAUUGUACACAAAUAUUACCCGACAACUUACAAAACUGAUAUAAUAGUAUUUAAUAAAUAAACGUUGAAUUGUUAAAACUUCAAUAUUAGAGAACUUUCCAACAUAACUUAUACAUGGUAACUAUAAUAAGGGGAGAUGAAAUUUUAUGAAAUUUCAUGCAUAAUAUAUAUAUAUAUAUAUAUAUAUAUACUAACUUAAAAGGUAUCUCAAAAUGAAAAUUUCAUAAAAUGAUUUCAGAUUAUAUAUAAACAAGGGAGUCAUUUGUUCACACCAAUUCUAAUAUGUAAAAUAUCAUAAAAUGAAAUUUUACCCAUUUUGAUACCAACAUGCAUUCUGAUUUAUGUUCUCACAAUACAUUAAAAUUGCAUGACUAUAGAUUAUAAGUUCUUGUGGCACUCUACUAGAGAAGCCAAAACCUCUCAAAUAGUAUGUUGGCAACGGAAGAAUGCAAAAAACAACAAAGAUAAGCAAGUAUGAUGAACCAUACCGAGAGUGGGAGUGAACUGGCAGCAGAACCAUCUAGGUCAUUACCAGCCAUUGUUAAUAUUAUAACUGCAUCAUUGGGCAUAGAAAAGUAGAAUGUUAUGCACAGCUAAACUGACCAACUGAAUAACUAAACAGCAAGUAUAGUACAAUACUAUGAAAGUUCAGCUAAGUGACAAGAAAAAUGCACGCAUCCAAUGAUGUGAGUAGGACAUACUUAAAAUAGGGAAGUGAAAGUAUACAUCAAGUUAAAAGAUACCACAUUGAAAGUGCAAUUUCAAAUUAAAUCAGUAAUGAAAGCAACUCCAAAUAACGAAAAUUAAAAAGUAGUCUUAUAAAAAAAAAAAAGUAGUGCAUCGUGUCUAUAAUAAGGACAAUACAUAACAUCCAAAAGCAACAACCCCAUGACCAUAAAGCAAAUAAUGGAACAAUGAGGGAUCGUACACAAAAUGAAAACCUUACAAGCAAAGAAAUGAACAUGUCACGACAAUGGAUUAUUACAUUUAGACCGAUUGUGACCUAUGCCAUUGCAUCGAGAGCAAUGAAUAGCUCUCUUAUGGCUAAAUUGUGACUCAAUACGCCUUUGUCGGGGUCUUCCUGGAGGACGUCUCACUUGCGGGGGUUGGAGACUAGGAAAUACGUUGCCUUGGCCAUCUUGCAAAGUCCCAGCCUCACAAACUUUAGGCAUGUUGUGUGUUGGUAAUGGUUGAAACUGACCCGAGUAAAUCAAAUGUUGGGUGGAGACUUUAAAACAUGGGUCGAUAUAGUCAUACACAUCGUGUCUCAAUGUGCGGAUCACAGCACAUACAUGUGGACAUGGCAACCUGGACAUUUGCCAUGUUAGACAUGUACACUUAUGUUGCUGCAUAUCCACAACCAAAUAAACAUCUCCAGUAAAAACCUUGAACGUCCCACCCAAAUAGGGCAUCACAGUAAUCGGAGCAGAUCUCGUGAUAUUUGACAUUAGCUUUUCCUCUGUUUUAGGUCCAACCACGCUCUUCCACUUAUCUGUACCACGCAUAUGGGUGUCCAACAUGGCUACAAGCUUAUCCAUGUGCAUCAACAACAACAUAUAAAUUGUUUGGUGUCGUUCCUCUCUUAACCACGCAUUGAAGGACUCUGCAAUAUUAGUUGUCAUUUUAUCCCAAUGUUUUUUAAGGAACUUUGAUAUCGCCCAAUGCUCCGGACUAUUCUCCGCAACCCACCUUGCUAGGUCGCCAUUAAAAUGCACAAGUUUUUCAAACGCCUCAUUGUAGUCUAUAUCCAACCGAGCAUAUGCAAUGUUGUCUAAAAGCAGCAAAACAUCUUCUUUCCCUUUCUUUUCCCUAAUGUUUUGCCUAUUGAAGAAGCUUGAAAAGUUCUCUUUCACAUGUCAAUAACAAUAGGCGUGAUUUUCUACCCCAAACAACUCCGAAACACUACGCAAUAUCCCUUGAUGUCUAUCUGAUAUAAUAAUUACUUCUUGACCAUCUAGGAUCCCCUUCAAUUUCUCCAAGAACCAAUACCAAUCCUCAUAAUUUUCUGAACCAACCACACCCAAGGCUAGAGGGAACAUUCCAUCAUCUGCAUCAUAUGCAAUGGCAGACAAAAGAGCUCCUUUGUAUGGACCACUUAGGUGGCAAGAAUCAAUAGCCAAUAUCGGUCGAUACCCCAUGGUGAACCCUUGAAUUGAAAAUGCAUGGGCAAUGAACAAUUGCUUGAAGUGGCCUUCAUGAGAAGUGUACUCGACAAUAGUUCCAGGGUUAAUUUCCCUUAGCCUAUGGCAUAACCAAGGCAAAAACGCAUAGGACGCACGUGGAGAUCCAUAUAAACGCUCUUUUGCCUUCUCUUUAAGAUGCCAUGCUUGGUUAUAAGUCAAUUGAACUCCAUGAUCACGUUCAAAAUCCUUGCAAAUUUGUCGAGGAAGGUAUUCUGGAGUUGUUCUAAACACGUCUUCAACAACAACAACACCUCUCUUGGAAGAAACCCGCACCUUAGAUGAACACUCAUCUUGAGCUAUAUGAUUAUGAUUAACUUGGUAAGUAUAAACUCGCAAUAUUUCAUUUCCUUCAACAGCAUGAGCUGUUAUCUUCCAAGGACAAUCCUCAACCGAACACUUUACUGACAUAUGAGUAGGUGAAUUUUUCUUGUACUUGUAUUGAAACCUUCCAGCUAAUGACAUUUGGUAUAUUGCAUUCCGAAACUCAUCUUCAUUCUUAAAUGUAUGUCUGGAACCUAAUAUUGCCUCACGAAACCGAUUCGAUUCCAAAGGGGUGUACUCACUAUCUGCACAACGCGAUGCAAAACCUCUUGAUAACAUCAUAGUAUUAGGACUUGCAUCGCAUGAUGCAUUAGACGAAGGAAACGUAGGAUGUGGACCUCUGCAUUUACAUUCAUAACCAAAAUUAGACUACAUAAUGCGUAAAAUUGAUAUUCAUAAAAUUUUAAAUAGACAUCCAAGUGAAAACGCAUUACCCAAGUGCCAACUGUGUAUUCGGUAUAUUUGCCUCUAUGGCUUCCACAUCGGGUGACUCGACUAUGUACACAUUUGCAAAGUCAUCACUGUGGGAAACCACGUUAUCCAAGUCAUCCUCAUCUUCUAAAUCUUGGAUGACUCUAGGGUUAAACUUGAGGGUGUAGUGCAUCCUCCUCACAUGAAGGGAAAUGUCGAAUUUUUCUAAGACCUUGUGAGUGAAUUCUUCAAAUGCCAUUCCUUUAUAAAUGUGAAUACCUUUGCUUCUUCCACCAACAUAUUCCCAAAGGCCAUCAUUUUUUUGGACAAGUUUGCCUCCCACGAAAAUAUAACAGUAUAUUCUAUUUGUGGCAUCCAUCAACCUAUUGAAAUAAAGCACAAAUUUAUAUUGUUGAACAAACAAUAAUGCAUAUUCAAUGUGAUCUUAAAAGUUUUUUCAUCUCACAAUAUACUAUGUUCCCAUAUGAAAAAGUUAUAUUUUAAAAAAUGUAUAUACAAAAAAAUGUAACUUUAAAGUCUUAAAAAAUAAUUUUUGUUGCUCCUUUUGAUUAUUCUAACCAUUGUCAACAGUAAGAUUAUUUUAAGAUAGGCACUAAUAAACAAACAGUGAGUUGAACUAAGAUAUGAAGACCGAGCUUCUCUCUUCUCUUGGACUGAUAAAUACUACCUAACCUAAACAAAACUAAAAAUAAUAAUAAAAAUAAAAAACAAAAAUGAGAAAUGUAAAAUUGGAAUGGAAAUUAAAAGAUUGAAAUUAAUAGAUUAAAACAAAUCAUUAAAUUAAAAACUAAGAAAGGCUAUAAAAGGAAAAAAAAUGAAAGAUUACAACUAAAAACUAUGUUACUUCUACUCCUACUUCUAAAAAAAAAUCUCUAACUUAUUUUCCCUAUCAUUCCCCUUUACUUAUAUAUUCAUAGUUCACAUUUUUAUAAGCAAAAACCUCUCUCUCCAACUACUUUAGUGCUACCCAAUUUGACACUACUACUUACCUAUGCUAAUAAUCUAAUCGUGUCAAUACUUGGAACUUUAAGACAAAACAUCACAACAAUAUCUAGUAAAGUAGGAGGAUUUUGUGUCUGAUUUGACAUAAUACUCCAGAACAUAUAUAUAUAUAUAUAUAUACACCAAAAAUAUUGGAAUUAUGGAACUAUAAGACAUUCAAUAGGAAAUAAUCCCCCACGUUUUAUUAAGCUCUGACCUAUACUUACACUAGGUAGAAAACAAAUUCUCAUUCUCACUCAAACCCUUAGACAAUUUCUAUUGGUACUACUAUAUCAGACAUGCCUACAAACUUAUUCAAAGAGAAUGGAGAUAUUUAAAUAUUAAUUAUAAAGCGUUGCUUUGCAAAAUAAUAUGAAGAGAUAAUAGCCUAAAAAAUGUAACAAAUAUAGAAUUCUCUUCUAAACUAUCAUGUCCUACUUUAGAUGAUUCAUACAAAACCAUAAGCAAUAGUUUAACACAUUUAAGGUUUAAGGGUAAAAAAAACUAAUAGAUAAAAAGAGAUAAAUCUGUUACUUGUGCCUACAUCUCAAGCCAAGGCACCAUAAGAAAACUUUAGGGUUUUUAGGUUUUCCAUUUCCCCUUUCCAUUUUUCCUCUCCUGGUUUCUAGCAACCAAUUAAACAAUUAUAAAUUAUUUUCAAGUAUAUAUGACAAUUUUUCACAAAUAUUUUUUUGAAUUUAAAAUAUACAAAUAGCAUGAAAAAAAAAUCUAAAAAAAAUUACAAAAAUAAAAUCAGAUCGAUUAAGCCAUGAAUCAUGAGUUGCAGGUAAAGUGCAUUUUCUGUAUUCUCAAGGCUUAAAGAAAAAAUUAUGGUUCAAAAUUUUUCCUUCUUUUUCUCAUUAUUUUCUCAGCAUCCGAAUAAUAGUAGCAAACCAAGAAGUCAAUUAUUGAAUGGGAAUAGUAACUUGAACUCCGGAGAUCAAGUUGAACACAGUUUAGAGAUUUGGACUAAGAAAAUUUUAGGUCGAGAUUUAGGCAAUCUACUAACCUCAAAUAUGCAACAAGAGAGACCCAACUGAAAUCCAUACCUUAUUCAAAUUUUCGAGAGAGACGAAUGCGAAAAAAAAUGAAAGAGCCACAGAGAUUGAGAUGCAAGCGAUGGAGGUGCUCGGGAGGAAGAGAAGAAAAAGGCUUCUAGGCUUGAAAUGUUGAAGAGAGACCAAAAUUAGGGCAAAUUUCCAAAAAGCCGCAGAGAUUGAGAUGCAAGCGAUGGAGAAACUCGGGAGGAAGAGAAAAAACGGCUUCUAGGCAGAGAAGAAAACGGCUUCUAGGUAGAGAAGAAAACGACUUCUAGGCAGAGAAGAAAAUGGCUUAUAGGCUUGAAAUGCUGAAGAGAGCAAAAUUAGGGCAAAAUUCCAAAGAGCCGCGGAGAUUGAGAUGCAAGCGAUGGAGGAACUCGGGAUGAAGAGAAGAAAACGGCUUCUAGGCUUGAAAUCUGAAGAGACACCAAAAUUAGGGCAAAAUUCCAACCUGGAUUUUUUUGUUUAUUAUUUUUUUUUCAUAAUCAGCAAAGGUUAUUUUUGGAAUUAAUAAAAGUGCAUAUCCUUCUUUUUAAUUUUGACACUUCCUAUGGGUUUUCAACUUAAAUGGGUCAGUUAGAUGGACCUUCUCUUAAUUUUUGGGCCCAACUGGGCCCAAAACACAAUUCUCCCAUAUAUAUAUCUAUACACACACAUGAUCCAUGGUUUAAAUAAAACAUUUCUUACAUUUACAAUAAUUUUAUUUUAAAGUAUUGUUAUUAUAUUACACCAAUGUUGUUAGGCCAUAUUUUGCUAAACAAAAUGAAAAAGAAAACACAUUAUUUGGCAAAUAUUUUACAACUAGAGGUGAUGAAGACUAAUGUUAGUAAUUAGGUUUGCCAUAUGUUUCAACAAUGUACAAUUAGCUCAAUCACUUGAAGCUUAUACCAAAAAUAUAUUUGAAUAAUAGACAAUUUUUGAAGGGUACAUAGUGAUAAUCAACUACCAAAUUAACAUAAACAUAAAAGUUGAAAGGACAAUUUUAAGGUAUAGAUGACUCUAAAAUAUCAAAAGUAGGUUGAGUAUCCAACUUAAUAUUACAACUUUUCUCACUUAAAUGACAGUUUACAUAUAACAAAACUAUCUAAAGAAAAAUAAUUGUUUGCCAACAUUUCAAAGAUAGAAUUCUCAAACACUAGUACCAAAAGAAAUCUUCAUCACCACUAAGAAUUCAUCAUUGUAUUCAAUCUGAAACAAGUAAAUACACAUAAUUAGCUCCAAUUUAAGCAACAUUUAGAUUUUCAUAAUGGACUAUAAACAACAUGUUCAAUAUUAUUAUUGCAAUUAUUGUUAUUAUUAUUAUUAUUAUAUAAUUAACAACACAAUAUUAACAAACUUGGUUAUAAAGAUUGUUUAAAUUCCUAUAGUUUUCAUACUUGUGGUAUUUAACCAUACUCAAGUGAGUAUAUUUGUCAAUAAAUUUAGAGUUUCCACUAACAACCUAUAACAAUUUAUAAUUUUAGCUGCUUGCUUGUAUAUUUUUUUGGAAUUCAACCUUGGAAAAAAUCACACGAAUCUUAAUCUUCCCUAUGAAAAUCACAUUCUGCAACUUCAAAGAGUUGAACCCAAUUAUAAACUCCCUCCAUCCUCUUUCUAAUGACUCAAACUAGGAGAUUGAUUACCCUAUGCAUUGUAUUUAGGAACUUAAUUGUAGUAAGGGAAGAGAAACAACUUAUAUUCAUAUGUAUAGUUGAAGGGUCUAAAAAUAUGCCUCUUACUAUAACAUGAUUUGAACAUUUAAAGCAAUAUACUUUUAGUAAAUCUAAGUCCAACAAGCCAACAAUUCAAUUUUUUUUUUGUAAAUUUAAAUCAUUAUUUUCAAUUCAAGAAGUUAAGAAAUAAUAUAAUAAAAUAUAAGCAUAAAAAGAUUAAUAGCUAACAAAUAUGUACGUAAACAUGGAUGGCCUUUCAUUACGUUGCAAUGAAAUUCAUCUUACCUUCUUUUUGCAUAAUGUUUAUUAUUUUGAAACCACAUCACCCUCUGCAAAAUAGCUGAAUUCAUUGUGAUGAUAAUCAUAACACACCAAAAAUACAAUGAAAUAAAAUAAAUAAAUAAAUAAAUAAACAAGGAAGAAAAUAAAGGAAAAAGAAUCGUAAGUGAUGUAAGAUAUGUCACCUUUUCAGCCAUGAACUCCAUCUGUUUCCAUCUUCCUUUUCAGACGAGCCACAUUCACUGCAGCGAAGACAUAUAACCUAUCUCUGGUUUCAUCAAUGAACCGGAAAUAAGCCUGCCUCCAAGACUUCUUUAGAGCCAAACUGCCACAUACAGCCCAAAAUCCCACCGGAAAGCCCAAUCCCAUGCUUAUGAAGAACCAUGACAGGUCCCAUUCAUCUUCAUCUUCCUCCUCAUCUGUGUGAUCUUGAUCAUUUAGAGUGGAGCAGUUGGUUGACAAUGGAGGCCCACAAAGUCCCAGGUUCGCCUCAUAAAUGGAUGGAUCAUUGAAUGUCGAGAACUGGUUGGUUGUUGGAAUUGGUCCUGACAGGAGGUUAUGUGAUAGGUUCAAAUGGUUCAAUGAGGUUAUAGAAGACAUGCUUGGAGGAAUUGGACCUGAAAGGCAGUUGCAUGAGAGGUCAAGAGUUUCUAGCCCUUGCAUGGUUCCGAUCUUCUCAGGUAUCUUUCCAAUCAAUUGGUUUUGGGACAAAUUCAAGGUACCCAGGGUCGAGAGAUUUGUGAUCUCUUCUGGGAUCUCUCCCCAAAUGUUAUUGCUAGAAAGAUCAAUCAAAUUCACAAUUGACAGUAUGCUAUCAAAUUCCAUGUCUUGUCCCUUCACAACUAGCUCCAUGCGCUCUGAAUAGGCAAAAUGACUCCCGGGGUUGUCAUCAAAUUCGAUGUCUAAUAAGGUCACAGAACGUAAAGCAGUCAAAUUGCCUAAGCAUUGUGGGAUGGAUCCUGAUAAAUUGUUAAGCGCAAGAUCCAAAAUGUGGAGAUAAGAAAGCCCACACAGUUGUUCAGAAUAUCUCCUAUCAACAUGUUGCCUCGUAAACGAAGUUGCCUCAAUGAUGACAUUUUUUCUCCAAUCCAUUUGGGUGUCUCGCCCGAAAACCUGUUAUUUCCAAGAUCAAGGGAGUGCAGCUCUGUGCAGUUUUGUAAGCUUUGAGAGAGUUUCCCAGAAAGAUUGUUGUCGCCCAAUAUCAAGUUAAAUAAAGAUAUUGAACACAUCGAACUUGGAAUCCCACCUGACAGUUUGUUCUUGGAUAGAUCUAUGGUGUCAAGAUUGUGCAAAUCAUUCCAAUUCUUUGGAAUCCUUCCAGAAAAAUGAUUGCUUGAGAGAUCAAUUUCGUUCAAAUCCUUUAGUUUACUAAUUGAUGAAGGGAUGCUGCCAUUUAACAACUUACCAGAAAUAUCAAGGACUUCCAAACUCGAUAAUUCCCCGAUGUUCAAGGGAAUUGGACCAGAAAAUAAAUUGUUUCCCAGAAAGAGCUCUAUCACAUUAAACCAAAGUGGGAAUCGGCCCACCAAGUGGUUGAAGCUUAAAUCCACCUCGACUGCUUUUCGGCUAAAGGAUAAUGAGUUGGGAAGCUUUCCAUACAAUUGGUUUUUAGAAAGAUCUAACCAUGAAAAAUCUAGUUUCCAAAGCCAUUCUGGUAUUGUAUCUGAAAUCCCCACAUUUUUAAGAACUAUUGUGUUAAGUCUUUUUUGAGUUCUAAGCCAGUUGGGGAACUUGGGAGAUACAUAGCAGUUGGAAAUACGGAUAUACAAGAGGCUGAAAGGAGGAAUCCAUUCAGGUCUCACGUGAAAACGGAGAGACUGGUUUUUGGGUGAUAAGUGUAAAGAGAAAUACUCCAGUUUUGUAAGAUUACUGAAAUGAAUUUCAGAUAUUACCCCUUCCCAAGCAUUCCAAUUAAGAUACAACUCAGUCAGCUCUCUAAGUUGUCCAAUACUUUCUGGAAUCGUCCCAUUCAUUAGAUUGAAUGACAAGCUAAGUCUCUUCAUCCGCAGCAAGUUUCCAAUCCAUGUUGGAAUUGGACCUGAGAUGGAGUUUUUUCUCAGAUAAAGACUCUCUAAGUUGGUAAGGUGUUGAAUUGAAUUGGGGAAGGGACCAACAAAACUAUUAUAGCUCAAGUCCAGGGAUUUUAAAUUCUUAAAGAGCCCUAAUGAAUCUGGCAACUGACCACUGACUUGAUUACCGCCCAAGUUUAACUCUUCCAAGGAAUUAUUAGUGCAUGCUGAUAAUCGAUUCAGGAAUUCAAUUCCUUCACCUCCAAUACUAUUGUAUGAGAGAUCUAAGGUCACCAAGUUGCGAAGGCAUCGUAAGUUAACAUGGGGAAUCGGACCUUUAAUUGUAGCACCAUUUAAAUAAAGAUCUGUAAGGGUACUGAUGUUAAACAACCAGCCAGGCAAAGUAGUGUUGAAAUUGUUUCCGGAGAGAUCAAUGACCAAAGCAGAAGUCAAAUUAACAAACGGAUUGGAGUACUGAGGGAAGUGACUGAGUUCACAAUGGGACAAAUGUAAUUCUAACAAAAAUGGAAGCAUGUUUACAGCUUGCAUGCAAUUUGAGGUUGCUUUACUAAGGUUCACAUUCCCCAGAUCAAGGUAUUUUAAAGAAGAAAGACCAGAAAGCCAAUUUAAAUUAGAAACCCUCAUUUGAUAUUCUCCUCCAUGAAGGUCAAGAUAACGUAACUGUGAUAAAUUUCCAAGAAGAGGAGGAAUCAUUCCACCUUUCAAAUGAGCCCAAGAAAUUUGGGAUUGGAAUUCCUUGAAAAUCAUUAAGACUUAGGUCCAGGUAAGUUAAAUGUUUCAAGUCAAGUAAGGAAUCACUUAUCUCACCACCCAACGGUAAGAAGUCAUGUUGUCUGAGGUCAACCUUGACAACAUUUCCUGUUUGGUUGUUGCAAUCCACACCUCUCCACUUGCAGCAAACAGCACCAACCCAGGAAGAAAGCCUACCUGAAGGAUCUUUCAGACCAUGUUUAAAUUCAGGAAGCGCUUUCCGCUCUACCUCAAUGCAAGCCAUGUUGAGAUCACUGUCAUUAGAAUUGAUUGUAAGAGCUUCAACCAUGAGAAACUUCAAAAACAGAGAAAGCAAAAGAAUAAGGAGUGGAAUGGUGGUUUUCCUACUUGCCAUUGAUGAAUGCAAAGUUGCACAAUUCUGAAUUGAUACCAUAUAAAUAAAUAAGAUUAGAGUCUUGGUCUAAUUUGUUUAACUAUUUCAAGUCUUCAUGCCAUCUAUAAAUAAAUGCAACAAAGACCCUUCAGCCAUAUAUGGCCCAUGUACUCCAUCAUAUCUGCAAUUAAUUUUACAUGUCACUUCUGACCAUAAUUUUAUCCUUCUCUUUCUUCAUAACAUCUUACGGCUAUUGAAACAUGUAUUAUUAAAGAAUCUAGACGGCAAUAAAAGCAUAAUUUAUGCCCAAAAAUACCCACAAAGUAAUGGCAUAUUAUAUGAUUCAAGUGUCUAAAGCUCUAUGCUAUGUAAGUGGAGUAUUAUCUUUUAAAAAUAUUUCUUGAAUGAGCCACCAUCAUCACAAACUUGUUAAAAUAUGAUCACCUUAAAACUUGAAAGUGAUCCAAAUAAUGGAUGUUUUCACUGUUUUUUUUUUUCUCUCUUUCAAAAAUGUGAUUUUUUUUUUUUUUUUGAGAAAUCGUUUCAUUUUUUCUAUCAUGCUAAUCCUUAAAUUAUAUUAAUCAAUGAGCAUUUGGCACACUAAUUCUAUUUACAUUGGAUUCAGUUUCAAUCCUUCUCAAUGUUAAUACAUUUUUAAUUUUGAAAAAUAUAUGAUGCACGAUAAUCUAAACAAAGAAUAAUUUUUUCUCUAUUUUAUUGAUCUAAUAGAUUGAUUUAGAAAAUAUGUUAGGCCAAUACUAGUGUUUCAAAUUUACAAAUUUUUUUAAAGGAUUGGAUCAAGGUUCAAUCACAAUUGGAUCACACAUUUCUCUUGUCCAUGAGUAAAUUAAGCUCACAAUAUUAAUUACCAAGUUUUUGAAAUAUGAAAAUGUAGUCCAAAGAAAAAGAAAAAGAAUCUUCUUUUUAUUCUUUUUUUAUUUUUUAUUUAAAUGGAAAAAGCUUUAUUUAUUUAUUUGCUUUUACAUGGAGUAGACUAAAGAGUAAUGGCUUUGUUUUAGUCAAGAGUCAAGAUAUCACAAAAAUCCUUUAAGUCAUUGUCUAAAGAAAAACAAUCACCAAGAAAAUAAAUUUAAAUAAUAUUUUAAUGUAUGACGUACCUAUUUUAUCUAAAAAAACAUUUUUAGACUCUUGCUAGAGUUUUCUCAUAUGAACCAUUUACUAAGUUUAACAUGGAUUGCGUAGGAAGUAUAAUUAAUUGAAGAAAACUAUAUGAAACUUCCUACUCCAUGUUAAGUAUUAUAUAUGUUGAAAAUAAAAUAGAAAUUUAAGUAAUAUUCUAAUGUAUGAUGUAUAUAAUUUAUCUAAAAAAAUAUUCUGAAACUCCUACCAAAAUUUUCUCAUGUGGACUGUUUACUAAGUCUAAUAUGGAUCAUGUACGAAGAAUAAUUAAUUGAAGGAAACUACAUGAAACUUUCUACUCCAUGUUAAGUAUUAUAUAUGGUGAAAAUAAAAUAUAAAUUUAAAUAAUGUUUUAAUGUAUGAUGUAUAUAUUAAAAAAAAAUUAAAUAAAACAUUUUUUGACUUUUGCUAAAAUUUUCUCAUGCGGACUAUUUACUAAGUCUAAUAUGGAUCAUGUUGAAGAUAAGUACAUGAAACUUCCUACUCCAUGUUAAGCAUUAUAUAUGGUGAAAAUAAAAUAGAAUUUUAAAUAAUGUUUUAACAUAUGAUGUAUGCAUGUAUUAAAAAAAAACAUCUUUUGACUCUUGCCAAAAUUUUCUCUUGUGGACCGUUAACUAAGUCUAAUAUGGAUAGUGUAGGAAGAAUAAUUAAUUGAAGGAAGGUACAUGAAACUUUCUACUCCAUGUUAAGUAUUAUAUAUGGUGAAAAUAAAAUAGAAAUUUAAAUAAUAUUUUAAUGUAUGAUGCAUGUAUUAAAAAUAGAAAAUCAAAAACAUUUUUUGACUUUUGCCAAAAUUUUCUCAUGUCGUUUACUAAGUCUAAUAUGGAUCGUGUAGGAAGAAUAAUUAAUUGAAGGAAGGUACAUGAAACUUCCUAUUUUAAGUAUUAUAUAUGGUGAAAAUAAAAUAAAAUUUUAAAUAAUAUUUUAAUGUAUGAUGUAUGUAUUAAAAAAAAACAUUUUUUGACUUUUGCCAAAAUUUUCUCAUGUGGACCAUUUACAUGGUUUAAUAUGGAUCGUGUAAUAAGAAAAAUCAAUAUUUUCAAAAUCAGAUCGGCCAUUGAAGUAGAAAAGUUACCGAUUCAUGGUUCACUAGUCAAACCGACGGUCGAACCGAUGAUGUCAUAAAUAUAUAAUUUAUAAAUUAUUAAAAUUUAAAAUAAUUAUAAAAAUAAAAAUAAUAAUUUAUAUAUCAUUUUAAAAUUAAAAUUUUAUUUGAAAAUCAAAAAAUUAGUUUCAAAUUAGAAAUUCAAAUUAAAAUCAUAAUUUUAAUUUUAAUUUUGAAAUUUUGAAAUUUAUUUUUAAAUCAAAAAAUUAUUUUAAAAUCAUAAUUUAUUUAAAAUUGUGAUGUUUUGAUUAAUUUAAAUUAAAAUCAUAAGUUUUAAAAAUCAUAAAGUAAAAAAAUAAUAAAUAUAAAAGAAAAUAAAUUAUAAUUAGAUGAGGUAAAUAAAUAAAUAAAUCAAUCUAGAAAGGAAGGGAAGAAAUGGUGGCCCAAAAUGGGAAGAAUGAAGGAUUGGGAGGAGGUGGUUUUCAGAUGGGGGUGGGACUUCUAGUGGGGAAGGGUUUUCGCCGCAAGGGGAUAGGGGGUUUUGCCACUGAGGGAGCGACGUCUAACCGACCAGUGGCCGAUGACAGCAACUCGGUGUCGAUGAUAAUAGGAGGUAGUAGCUAGGGCAACCGUGCGAGAGGGGUUGUUGGGAAGAAAAAAAAAUGAUUGAACCGGAUGAUUCGGAGGGAAUCGUUUGGUUAGUCCAGUUUGUCAAUCAAACUGUCAGUUCAAUCGAUCCAAUUCUGAUUUGACUACCUUCCAACCUAAUAGACCAAACCGAAUAGAAAUUGUUACUGACUGGCGAUCGAACCGAUUAGACCAACCAGUCCGAAUCGAUUUUUAAAAACAUGAGAAUAAUUAAUUGAAGAAAGCUACAUGAAACUUCUUACUCCAUGUUAAGUAUUAUGGUGAAAAUAAAUAUAAAUUUAAAUAAUGUUUUAAGUAUGAUGCAUGUAUUUUAUCUUUAAAAAAAAAAAAAUAGUGUCUUGCAAGAAUUUUCUCUUGUGGAUCAUUUACUAAUUCUAACAUGGAUUGUGUACGAAGUAUAAUUACUUAAGGAAGCAAAAUGAAACUUCAUACUCCACGUUAAGUAUUAUGGCCAAAUAUAUAUAUAUAUAUAUAUCAUGAAAAUUUAUUUUAUUAUAUAUAUAAAGGGCUAGAAAAAUGCAUAUAUAGUGGGUGUCAUUUUUUUUUGUUUAAAAUAUGAAUACACCUGAAUUUGACUUAAUCUAAAUAAAAUUGAAUGUUAUUAAGUGUUUAAAUUAUGUGUUUUUACUAAUAUUUGAAGUAUUAAGCUUAUUUAUUUUUUACAUAUUAAAUAUAUAUAUAUAUAUAUAUAUAUAUAUAUAUAUAUAUAAUUACUAUAUUUUAUUAUUUUAGUUUUAAAAUUAAUAAUAUAAAAACAUUAAUUUAAUAUAUUUUUAAAUAUUCCAAACUAUCAUAAUUUAUCACCAUAAUAAAAAAUUUAUAAUAAUUAAUUAUAUAAUUAGUAGGCAAUUAACAAAUAGAUUUCUAGUUAUGUUUGGUUGUUAAGAAAAUAUUAAAAAAUUUCUAAGUUAAAACUUAUUUUUAUAUAACCUAUCUUUGGAGAAAGAAGGGGUGAAGGUUUUAAUGAAUUUGAAAACUAUAUAUUUAGAUUUUGAUACGUUUUCCUAAAUUCAAAAUUCUGAAAUUAAAAAAUUGACCUAAAAAAUAUUCAUAAAAAUAUUUUUAUUCUAGUGAAUAAUUGGUGAGUGUAAAUUAGGAGUGUAAGUUCAAAUGUAUAACCCACCAAACCAACUUCAAACCUGUCCAAUCUAGUUGGGUUUGUUCAUUUUGGCUUUUCAUAGCAAUUCAUGAGAAUAUUUUUAUUCUAAAUUAUCUUGAUAAACAAUAGAGAAAAUAAAUAAAAACAAAUUUAAGUCAUACUCAUAUUUUUUUAUGACAAAUUUACUAAUUCAUGGUAGAUUAAUUUAUUAUUCUAAUUACACAAUGUUUAAGUAGUUUAAUUUUUUAUUUUAAAAAACAAGAAAUAUCUAAAAAUUUUAAAAAUAAAUUUAGUUUAUUUUGAAGGAGGAAUUAGAUUUGAAUAUUAUAAUAAAUUUAAUAGUUGAAAAAAAUGAAAUUUUAUUUUCUCAAAAAAUUUCACUAUUCCUCUUAAAAUAAAAUUAUCUCUGAAAAGUAAUAACCUAAAAAACAAACCAUCAUAAAAAUAUAUUAAUUAUAUUACAUGGAAGUUAUGUUUUAAAGAAAUAAUAUCAAUAUAAAUUCCAAAUUUUGAAGUUAUUUCUUUAAUAAAUAACUUAAAAGUUUGAUAAUUAAAUUGAAAUUAUCUUUUGAAGAAAUUUCCCAUUUUACUUUUCACAAUUUCCUACAAAGUAAGAAAUUAUUUUUCAAUUAUCAUAUUUUAAAAAAUAUUAUAUUUUGUUCAAAAUCCCCAAGGAAUAGAUCCAUUGAAUAUUAUUUCACACGUGUUUAUUGUUCACCAAAUUUUCAAUUAUCAAAUUAAUUAAUGUAAUGAAAAUUAUUGAAAUAUUACUUCUUGUUUUUUUAAUCUAACAAGUACCUUAUGUGCAUAGAUUAGGGUAUUUUUAUAUACCCAGAAAAAGAACACCUUGUUGGUCCAGUUAAACAGUUCAAAUUGCUUGCCUUUUUUUUGUAGUGUCUAAAAUGAUGGUUGUUUGCAAUUCAGAUGUUGCUUUCGAUUUGUUCUCUGUUGAUGUACAAGACGACUGAAGCAAGUAUGAGACAACUGCAAUGAACUGAACCCAAAAGUAGGUCAUGAGUCAAGUUUUGCAUUUUUAUGUGUGGGGGCAGACCCUUUCUGUCUCUCUCUCUAAUCUCUAUCUCUCUCUUCAAUCCUAAAAUGGACAAAAAAGAAAGGUCCAAAACAUGCUUUCAAUUGAAAAGAAGAAAUCUCUCUCUAUGUCUCUCUAUCUCUCUCUUCAAUCCUAAAAUGGACAAGAAAGAAAGGUCCAAAACAUGACGGCCCUCAAUUGAAAAGAAGAAAAAACAAAGACUCAACUUUUAUAUUGUUUGAAUGCAAUCACACUCGUGGAUUUUCUAAUGUUUUGAUUCUAUUCUAAUCGAGCACUUACCAAUUUUGAUAAUUAAAGAAGACAAAUUUUCCAUUAUUAAAGUUUAGGAGUGAAAGUGUGGACAAUUACCCUGGUUUGAUUCGUUCAAUUUUAAGUAUAAAAUCAAAUCAAAUCAAAUCAGUCUUACAUGCUUUUAUGUAUGAAUGAAGAAUUGAACAAGUUAGUUACCAAAUCUUUAAAGUUUAGUCUUGCCGACAUGAGAGAAAAAACAAAAUUCCUUGUCUUGUCCACAUGUUGUGGACAACUUGUUUGAAUGAGGAAUCCAUAUGUCACCAAUUAAGCUCUAAGGUCACUGUCCCAAGGAAAGGUUCGAGAAAAGAAAAUGAUGAAAAAUUCAAAUGGUGGUUUAAUAUAUAAUAUAUAAUUUAUUAUUAUUAUUACUUUAUUUUAUUUUAAGAUGAGAGGUUCUUCAAGCAAGUGUAUUAGGCCAAUUUCUUCUUUUGUUACAUCAUUUAUUUAUAAAAAAAGAUAGAUAUUUAAAAUAAAAUACAUUCAUAUAAGAUAAUAAAUAUGAAAAUAAUAUAGGAAAAAAAAUACACUAAGAUAAUAAACAACCAUUGGAAGUAAAAUUUUAUUUUGCUUAUAUAUGGUAUAUCUUAUUUAAUAAUAAAUACUAUAAUAUAAUUAUUUAAUAAAUUUAGAAAUAUUAAUAUAUUUAUGUUUUAUUGUUAUAAUAUGGCAAAGAUAGAAACGCAUUUUGAUUAUUUGUAUUUUUUAAUUUUAUGAUGAUUAAAUUAUAAUAUUAUAAUUUGUUUUCUUCUACUUUCGUGAAAUCAAAUAUAGGAAAAGUACUCUUAGACAUUUCAAAGCGAUGAUUGUUGAUUUUAAACAAGAUAAAAAACAUUAAUAGUUUGUCAAAAAUUGUUAUUCGAUUUUCUAUUUGCAACAUGAAGAUCCAAAAAAUUCUUAGUUCCUAUAAUGUUUGAACAUAUCUUUACCAUUUUUUUCUUCUUGAUCUAACAACAAGCUUGACUGCACAAAAGUGAUGAGGGUGAUGUUCUUCCUAUGCUCUCCUCUCCCUUUUUAACUUUUAUAUCCCCCCUCAACAGUAUAGUUUUAAGGUAUAUCACUUUAAUCCUGAUGGACUAAAGGCCCAUAAUUUAUCUCAAUGGGUCAAAGUGAAGCCAUGGGCCUCUUCACAGUACAUUAAAUUGAUUAUGGCCCAAAACAAUACCCAUGCACAACCAAAUAUAGUUUACAAUAUACCUAGUUCACAGUACAUGAAAUCGUUUCUCCAACUACAUUGCUACCAUCACUGACGUCCUCAUCACUAACGAGGCCUAGACUCCGAUUCUCUCUUUUCUUCUCCGAAAUACUCUUGUGUAUUUCAAAUUCGGAGCCAAAAUCUGGUCAAAGAGAAACAACAACCCUAAAUUCAGCCCGAUCGACCAGCUAUUGAUGAGAGGUCUUUAAAGAUUGUAGUCUUCUUCGCUUCACAGUGAAGAAAUGCAUAGUCGGGGACCGAAUCACCGGCUAUCUGGUUCGGCUUUCAGAUCUCAAGUUUCGGUUCUCAUGCUAGCCAUGUUGACACCAUGGCAUGGAUUUACGUCGUCGGCCGGUGAGUUCUGGCACUGUUUCAUGUUGUGAAUUGAUUUUUGUUUCUUAGCUGUAAUAGUGCUUUAUGGUGUGGUUAAUUUCAUUUAUUUAGGUUUUUGUUUUGUGAUGCUUUGAUUUUGAUUAUAAUUGGUCUAUUUUUUUCAAAAAAAAAAAUUGUUUUUGUGGAAAUCUGUUUUCGGUAGGCUACGGCUGGAUUAUGAGAAUGGGGCUUAUUUGAUUAAAGAGCUGGAUAGGAGAACUAGUCAGGUGUUAUCUUUACUUUUAUGUAUUACCAUUUGUUAUUCAAUUGUAGCUUCAAAUUUUCUUCCCCACAGUUUGUUAAUGCAUUUUUUGGGACUAUUUUGUUAUCGAGAUUAAAUUAUAGAAUUAUAAUGAUACAAAGGGGGUCUUGACAUUGUAUGGAACCAGAAUCAGUCCAUCAUGGUUUAAAUUAAUUACAUGUUCUAUAGCAUUACAUUACAAUGCCAAAUAAAUUAGUGAUUUGCAUGAGCUCAUGCCUUUUUCUUUCUUUCUUUCUGUUUUUGUCUUUUUUUUUUCUUUUAUUGAAACUAUUUGAGAUGAUACCAGCCUAUUUUCUUUUUUUGAAAUUAAUCAUUCAGAGUAAUUGACUAGAUAAUGGGUUUUUCCAUUUUAAUGGUUUUUGUGUGCAAUCAGCCAAUGACACACUGAAAAUUAUAGCAUGCAGGUAAAUAACUUAUACCUAUCCUUCCUUUAUGUGGGGUUCUUUUUUUGGGGCUUUUGUUAUAAUAGACAAAAUAUAAUCUAAAGGUCAUGGUGAUGGUUCUUUUAUUUUAUAGGGAACAACACAAGAAGUUAGCAGCCCUUGAGAUGGAGCUAGCGGCAUCACAACAGGAAGAUUUUGCCUCAAAGAACUUGUUAGAAAAUAAGGGGACUCCUCCCAAGAAAAGGCUUUUAGCUGUUGUUGGAAUUAUUACAAAGUUUGGCCACAAGAACAAUAGAGAUGCAAUCUGUAAGGGCAUGGAUGCCAACUGGUAGAAUGCCCUUCUUUUUAUAAGUUUCGCUCUUUAUUCUUUGUAUUAUUUACAUAGAGAAUGACCCAGUUGGCACUUAACACAUUGACAUUUCUGUUAUAAGCAUAUAAGGGAUAAAAAUAGGAGGCUCGUAGGCUGAACUCUUAUUAACAUGAAAACUUUUAGUGAACUGCCAUUUCUCAUCUAUUCUUUUUUCAUUGUCUUGUUUAUUUUCUCAGUUUGCAAUGGUCAUUUUCAAUAGUUUGCAAACUCCAUCAACCAAUUUGAAAAGCCUUGGAGCUAACAAGUACAAAUUAUGAGAAACUAAAAUCUCGUUUCUCUAGGAUUUUUCUAAAGUUGCUCAAAUGAAUGGAAAGCAGAAAACUAUCAAGAAGCCCUACCACUGCCUUGCACCCUCUAUACCCCUAUUUACAAAAAAAUUGGAGUUUGUCUUUAAUGUAAUAAGGGAGACAAUAGUUUGCAUAAUAAUGGAACAUGAUGUAAUAUUGUGAUUCACUACUGCAAAAAAUAAUAUUAACAUAACUUAUGUGCUAAAUUACACUUACAUGCUUGGCACAAAAGUAUGUUAUUCUUCAUUUGAGAACAUUACUUAUGUUAUUCUUCAUUUGAGAACAUUACUUUAAACCUUAUAUGUUAGCAUCACUUUUGCCAUAACUAAUCUUUUUUUCUUUCUCCUUAUCCAAGACAAUGCAUAUCGAGUGAUUGAUACUUAAGUUAAUAGCCUUAGCACCCACAUGAGGUGAAGUUUGAAUCCAGAAUUUCCUAAUAGUCUUAAUACGCUUCCUCAAGCGUGUUCAAACUUAAGACGUCAAUGUUAAACCACCACUUUGCCCAAAACUUUUAAGUUACGCAGUAAUAGGCCAGCAAUGGGAUAUUAAGGCGACUGACAGGUAGGCUAAUAGCUUGAGCAAUUCUCUUAUAAUGUUUAAUGGUUUAAAUGUUGACGAUUAAAACACUUACAAAAGCAUGAUGACUUACCCAUCCUUUUCAUACAGAUACUCUGGAAGCAACUCUUGCUACUCAUUUGAAUAAGCCUCGAGUUUAUAUUGGGUGUAUGAAAUCAGGCGAAGUUUUCUCAAAAGUUGAGUAUAAUCAAAGUUUUUUUUCUCUAUUGAUGAGAAAACGAGUUGUUUAUGAUAUUCUACUUUCAUAUAUUGUAUUAUCUUUUCAUAUUGUCUGAAUUAUGUAGGAUCCACAAGUGGUAAGAACCAGAUUGGUAGAAAUUUGGUGAUGGAAAAUCAUGAGUAUUUCUGUGUUGAUUUCAUCUUGUCUCUUAUAUUAGGAUAAGUAAUUAUUACUUUCUAGUUAUGUUAACUAGUCAAGAAGUCUCUUAGCAUCUCUGAAUUCAUCUGAUAGGUGAUAGAAGUCCCAAUGAACAACUAGGGCAUUGUCCCAUAAGAGGCUUGCUUGAUAGAGAGAAGUUUUUUAGGCAUUCAAACAAUUUAUCAUUCCAUCAUAUUCUUGUCAUCUAUUACACUUAAUUUGCCUACCCUUGCACCCAUAUUUUAACCAUCUCAACUCUAAUUUGUGUCGAGGUAUCCUAGAGUCUGCAUAGGGAUGCCUUCUCGGGAAGUCAGGCUUACAUUGGUUGAAGAUACAUUUAGCAAAUUUAUAUGCUGGUGGAGUGGACAAGUUAUCAUAUGAGGGUUAGGUAGCAUUUACUGAGAAUCAUUUGGAAGAUAUCUUUGAGUCCGCAGAUAAACCUCUGGAAGGAAGACGUUGGUGAUUGUCUGUCGAGGAUCCUUUUCAAUGCUUGGCAGCGUGUAUUAAUCUAUCAAAUGCAUUAAGAAGCUCCCCUCCAGAGACUACCAUUUCACACAUGCCUGUCCACUAGGUACUUCAUUCUUAGCAUGGUCACAUUCAAACUGAGAAAUGUUUACCAAGUGAAAUCAAAUUAAUCCCACCUCCUCCCUAGUCUACCCAAUCCCACAAUAAAAAAGAAAUCUCAAAACUAGCUUUUAUUGGAAUUGUGUUCUAUGCAUAGUCAUAUCAUUUGUUGCCCUAUGUAUUUUGUAUAAACUCCUCCAAGCAUAUAGCUCCUCUGCAUUUACACAUGGAAAAUGACAAUCAUAUGAUUGUACAUAUCCUUCAGAGUACCCCAUUUGUUACCCCAUUAUUAGGAGCAAAAAUAAUGGAUCGACCACUUCUUUCAUAGCCCUGUCUUAUGUUUGUGCUAUCCUGCUAUAGUAUGCUUGAGAGGAUAACAAACAUUUCCCUGACUUUACUUUUGUUUUCAUAUUAAAUGCUUAGAUUCAGGUCAUUUGUUUAUCCAAACUUAAUCUAUGAUUGUAUUGUUCUAUGUUUUUCAAGGAUGGCUCUUGCAAUGGCUUACAACACCAUGCUGCCCUUGGAAGGGACAAGUUAGUGGAAUUUUCUGUUUUUGGUUGAUUGUUGUGGAAUUCUGAUUAUGUGAUAUGGAAGCAUGGUUUUUGAUUAGUUAGACAGUUUUUCACUCUUUUUCUGCUUUGAGGCUAAAUGUGUCUCAGCUUUGAUCUUCUCUCUUUUUGAUAGAAAAAAGGAACUUUGUUAAGGAAAGAUGGUAAAAGGAUGAGGAGUUGGAAAUUGAAACCCAAGAAAGAAACCAAACUUUGUUUGAGUUUAGUGCAGUUUAUUUAAUUUGAUUUUUCAAGUAAUUUCAAAGUUUGGUUGUUUCAAGAAAGGGGAUUAUCAUCGGUAUUUGGCAAGUUCAAAGGCUAGGGCAGCAAAUCAGUCUCUAAAGAGUGAAUUUUAGUUAGACCUUAGUAUUGGAGGAGAUAAAUUAUUAUUUAUUUAUUUAUUUAUUGAAGUUUCCUUGUUCUUUGGCAAUAGAACUUUGUAUUGGGGAUUAUUAUUUGAUUAUGCAGUUUGGAUACAUAUACAUAUUUGGAUUAUGCAAUAUUGGAAAUUAUAAUUUUGUUGCUUCAACUGCCUAUCAAGAAAAAUAAUUUUGUUGCUUCAACUAAAGUUUUAUAUAUGUAAUAGAAAAUAUAUACUGGAAAAAGUGGUAGGACCUCUUCAAUUUUGAAAUGAGAAUUUUAAUUAAAAUAUUUGAAAAAAAAAUAUUCAAGACUUCAGCUCUGGCCAAAUAUAAGUUGUGUCCACUUAAUAACCUAUGGCAGCGGACAAGAAAAAGUGGCAUCCAUAUGAAGCCCUAUAAUUGCGGCUGACAAAAGGUCAUGUCUAUAAUACUAUAUAGUAUUAAAUUCUGUAGAUGUCACACCUUCAUAGCAGCAACUAUCAGCUCUCCCAACCACAUAUAGAGCUUUUAGUUGAGGAAAAAACAUGAGCGCGGGGAUAGCUUCACAACUUCUUGUGUUUUUUACUGGUGGCUGCAACUAUAGGAUUUAUCUGCAUUCCUAUGGCCUUCGCAGCUAUGAACUUAACUUCUUGUAGCGUGUAACACUCUUGCCUCGUGUACGAUUGCAUGAACUUGCAACACAUGUACUGCACAACUCUUUGUUAAUGGUUAUAAAAAAUAUUUUUCUAUUUUUGAGAAUUGAAAAUAAGAAAAUCUUGUUUGACAAUAAGAAAAUAGUAAACAAUUUUUUAUUUUUAAAAACAGAAAAGUUUUUGUUCUUAAAAAAAAAAAAAAAGAUUUUUAUAAGAACAUAUUUUAGUUGUUUUUAAUUGUUUUCUAAGAUUAUUUUUUAAAAAAAUAAUAAGAUAAAUAUGAAGAAUAAUUAAAAAUAAAAUGCUAUCUACAAAACUUUUUUUUAAAAAAAAAUAUUUGAAAGCAAAAAAUAGAUUAAAAAUAUUUCAAAAUUCUCAAACAAGCUUUUAUCAUAUAAAUAUUAGAGAAUUGUUUUUUAAAACUGUUUUCAAAAACUAUUUUUUUUUUUUAGAAUAGUUUUCAAAAUAAUUUCUAAACUAACUUAAAGUACGUUUGACAAUGAUUUUAGGAAACGUUUUUAAUUUUUUUAUAACUUAAAAGAUGAAAAUUUUUUAGUAUUAAUUAUAAAAAUUAGAAGCCUUUCUAAAAUCACUACUAAAUAAACUCUAAUUCUCUCUACUGGAGGCUUGUAGGGGCUUUUAUAAUUUGUCUACCAAUCAUGUUAGACAUGUGGUAACCAUGUUAUGAGAUUUUGGGAUAGCAUCAUCUAGUUUGCACUUGUAUGUAGUUAAUUUUUGUUUUUAAAAAUAAAAAAUGAAACUAACUUCGAUAUAAAAUAUAAUUUUUUUUUAAACUUACGUUACUUCAAAUUUGAAAAUUUAUAGUGAUUUUUAAAGAUAUAAGGUGAGUUUAUACUUUUGAUAUAAAAAUUUCUACUAAAAAAUAUUACUAUUUUUUGUUGUAAAAAAAAUGUAUAAAAAAAAGUCAAUAUAUAAAUAAUAAAAGCUGAAAGAACAUUUUCAAUGCAUAGAUUAUCUUAAGGGUUCAAAUGUGGGCUAAGUCUAAAACUUAAUAUUAAAUCUUCUCUCAUUCAAAUAAUAGUAUUUAUAAAUAAUAGAAUAUCCUAAAUAAAUAUAGUUAUGGACAAAUAUUUCAAACAGAUUUCUCAAAUAUUAAUAUCAAAAGAAAAUUUCAUUAACCAUGACGAGCUCCCUGUUUCAAUCUAAAACAUGUAUAUAAACAUAAUUAACUUUAAUUUAAACAAGAUUUAGAUUUAUAUUAUGGACAAUAUAGUAAACCUAAAAGAUGAUCAUAAGUUUCUUAUUUCAUGACUUCAAUUAAUAGAAAAAAUAUUUACAAGCUCAAUUUUGUUGGAAUUUUAUUCAAUUCAUUCUAGUUUGAGACUUUGUAUAUUUUCUGUAACUUACCCUCCAUUAAAGAUACAAAAUUAUUUAGAGUUAACUAGAGAUUGGAUAGCACAAGUAUAGAGAGUUAUGAAAAGAAUAAUAACUUUUAAUUAAAAAGAUUCAGGAGAUCGAGUGCUCAAGCACUUGAAUAUAGCUUUCAUGGCUUAGAGCACUCAAGUAUUGCUUGGAAGUACCCAAUAACAAGCAAUCAAGUGCACUUACCUCGUGCUUGAGUACUCAAAAGUGGGGUUUCCAAAAAAUAAGUUUGCAUACAACACUCCCUAAGAAAAACAAUGAUUGCAUACAUAUAUAUGAUCCAUGGUUUAAGUAAAACAUUUCUUAUAUUUAUAAUAAGUUUAUUUUAGAGUGUUGUUAUUAUAUUAUACCACUGUUGUUAGGCCAUAUUUUGCUAAAUCAAAUGAAGAGAAAACACAUUAUUUGAUAAAUAUUUUACAAUUAGAGAUAAAGUUUGAAAUCUCAAUAAAUACAAAUAUAUCGGUACUUAGAUUUUAUGGAUAUAUAAAAAAUAUUGAAUAAAUAUCGGUGGAUAUUUUGACAAAAAUAUAGAUCUUGUUUUAAAAUUCAUGAAAAUACUUAAAAAAACUUUAAAAAAAAUGAUAAAAUAAAGAAUAAUACACAUAUUAAAGUUAUUUUGUAUGCUUAAAUUCCUUUAAUAUAUUCGCAUUUAUUUAUUUUUAAAUUUUAAAAAUACUUUUAUUGAAAGAUGUUUUAUCAUAUUUUAAAUAAAAAUUAAAUUGAUUUAUAUAAAAUAUUCAAAACCAUUACCCAAUAAAGACGCCUUUUGUGGGAGAAGUAUUCACCGUCAUCCAUGCAAAUCAAACCCACCUUUGAUCUUUAUUCACAAUUUCAUAUAUUAUAUAUAUGUCUACUAAACUUAUGUAUAUAUAUAUAUGUAUAUAUGGGUUUAUACAUGUGGAUGUGUGAAUGAAAAGUUGGAAAAUAGUCUCUAUUGUUCUUUAUUGAAGAACGAUAGCUAGGGUUUCUAUUCGUCUCUCAUUCUCUGUAUUGUUUUGUUUCUCUUUCUUAGGGACUUACCUUUGUUUGUGAAUCGGAACCUAUGCUCAAUUAGCUUAAGAAUUACCCAGUAGUUUGUUUGAAUCGGGGGGAGUUUGGGUGGGAGAGUCUAAGGUUUGUGAUUUAAGGGGUUUUGGUAUUGUAGGAGCUGAUUGGUGUCUGGGUUGGGAGGAAUCUAGGGUUUGUGAUAUGGGGUUUUGGCGUGGUUGAGGUGGGAAGGGAAAAAUUGAAUCUUGGGGAUUGUUUUUGUUGGUGGGGUUUUGAAGAUGGUGGAGAAUCGUGGAUCAGGUGUGAUCUGAUCGCCGCUUUUCCGAUGGCAAACAACCAUCCGAUUGGAGGGGUGGGGGCUUUUGUAUGGAAACUUGGAGCCCCAAGCAGGCGGAGGCGUCCUCAACGGCCCCUUUUUCUGGACCCACCACCUGGUCGAGCAAGCGAUCUCGUAUCUCCUCUUCUUCUUCUUCAACGAUCCCAAUUUCAUCGAACCCCAACGCCCAUGCUACACUGAAAAAUUAAUUUUGAGGGGAGCGGAGCUACACUUUGACCGAAGCCAGCGUUGACCAACAUAAAUAUCGGGAAAUUUCCCGAAAAAUCGGCAAAAACCGAUAUUUCGGCGAUAAUUUCAGAAAAAGAGCGAAAUUCCUUCCAAUCGAUUAUCCGUCCUCAAUAUCGUAUCGAGCUUCACCGAUAACCGAAAUAUAGGGGAAAUUUCGUCGAUAAAAAAGACAUUUCAAUCACUGACUAGAGGUGAUUAACACUGAUGUUAGUAAUUAGGUUUGCCAUAUUUUUCAAUAAUGUACAAUUAGCUCAAUCACUUGAAGCUUAUACCAAAAAUAUAUUUGAAUCAAUAAUGGACAAAAAUUUCUGACUGGUACUUAGUGAUAAUCAACUACCAAAUUAUCAUAAACAUAGAAGUUGAAAGGAUAAUUUUAAGGCAAAGAUGACUCUAAAAUAUCAAAAGUGGGCUAAGUAUCCAACUUAAUAUUACAACUUUUCUUACUUAAAUGACAAUUCACAAAUAACAAACCUACCUAAAGAAAAAUAAUUGCUUGCCAACAUUUCAAAGAUAAGUUCUCAAACACUCGUACCAAAUAAAUCUUCAUUACCACUAAGAAUUCAUCAUUGUAUUCAAUCUGCAACAAGUAAAUACACAUAGUUAGCUUCAAUUUAAGCAACAUUUAGAUUUUCAUCAUGGAAUAUAAAUAGCAUGUUCAUUAUUAUUAUUAUUAUAUAAUUAAUUAAUUAACAACAUAAUAUUAACAAACUUGGUUAUAGAGACUAUUUAAAUUCUUAUAGUUUUCAUACUUAUGGUAUUAACCAUACUCAAAUGAGUAUAUUUGUCAAUAAAUUUAGAGUUUCAACUAACAACCUAUAACAAUCUAUAACCUUAGCUGCUUGUUUGUAUAUUUUUUGGAAUUCAACUUUGGAAAAAAUUUCAUGUAUCUUAAUCUUUCCUAUGAAAAUCGCAUUCUGUAACUUCAAAGAGUUGAACCCAAUUAUAAACUUCCUCAAUCCUCUUUCUAAUGACUCAACUAAGAAAUUGUAGUAAGGAAAGAGAAACAACUUAUAUUCAUAUGCAUGGUUGAAGGGUCUAAAAAUAUGCCCCUUACUAUAACAUGCUUUGAACAUUUAAAACAAUAUACUUUUAGUAAAAUCUAAGUCCAACAAGACUACAAUUCAAUUUCUUUUGUAAAUUUAAAUCAUUAUUUCCAAUUCAAGAAUUUAAGAAAUCAUAUAAUAAAAUAUAAGUAUAAAAAGAUUAAUAGCUAACAAAUAUGUACCUAAACGGAGAUGACCUUACAUUACAUUGUAAUGAAAUUCAUCUUACCUUCUUUUUGUAUGAUGUUUGUUAUUUUGAAACCUUAUCACCCUCUGCAAAAGAGCUGAAUUCAUUGUGAUGAUAAUCAUAACACACCAAAAAUACAAUGAAAUUAAAAAACAAACAAGGAAGAAAAAAAGAAGGAAAAAGAAUGGGAAGUGAUGUAAGAUAUUUCACCUUUUUAGCCAUGAACUCCAUUUGCUUCCAUCUUCCUUUUCAGACGAGCCACAUUCACUGCAGUGAAGACAUAUAGCCUAUCUCUGGUUUCAUCAAUGAACCGGAAAUAUGCCUGCCUCCAAGACUUCUUUAGAACCAAACUGCCACAUAUAGCCCAAAAUCCCACCGGAAAGCCCAAUCCCAUGCUUAUGAAGAACCAUGACAUGUCCCAUUCAACUUCAUCUUCCUCCUCAUCUUUGUGAUCUUGAUCAUUUAGAGUGGAGCAAUUGGUUGACAAUGGAGGCCCACAAAGUCCCAGGUUCGCCUCAUAAAUGGAUGGAUCGUUGAAUGUCGAGAACUGGUUGGUUGUUGGAAUUGGUCCUGAUAGGCGGUUAUGCGAUAGGUUCAAAUGGUUCAAUGAGGUUAUAGAAGACAUGCUCGGAGGAAUUGGGCCUGACAGGCAGUUGCAUGAGAGGUCAAGAGUUUCUAGCCCUUGCAUGGCUCCAAUCUUCUCAGGUAUCUUUCCA
rnacentral:lncRNA from 1 species